rnacentral:lncRNA from 1 species
CGGUUUUGUUCAUCUUGUUAUAUACGGAUAGAAAACACCGCAUGUCUAGCAAAACUUUUCCAGGAAGAAGUUCACUUAAAGUGCCGCUUUGCCAGUUUACAUGAACCUCCUAUUGAUUUGGGUUUGUACUGCUAUCUGCAAUAAUAUAUACGAAGACUACCAUGGUUCAGAGUUGUUACCAAGAAAGUUUCUAAUAUAUGACGGCCUGCUCCAACCAUCCUCCAUCAGAAUUAGGUUAAGGCGUAUCAUCAAUUUCUCUGCGGCAUCUUCCUCCAAAACGGUUAACGAAUCAGACGGUCGCCUCCGUAGUGGACAACCCUGAAAAAUCCAAAUGAAGGUACUUAAAAUAGAUUUGCUAUCAAAGUCAUACGUCGAUAUACAUGUAGAAAUGAGAAAACGUACCUUUUUGUCCUGAUACAACUUUAGAUAUUCAAGUGAUUCCUCAUAAAAUCCACAAUGGUAGAGAAGAAUGCUGUAAUCUCUUUAAUUCCUUCGAAAAAAAAAUGAGCUGGCCAAUAAUUCAGUGGAGUACACACGUUAAAGCAUAAAGAGAGAAUUGGUGGUUGAGCUUUGUGUUGUGGGUGGAAAAAGUUUAGGUUAAAAAUUUGUCGGUGUGAUGAGUGAUGGUUGCUUUCUUUCUACUUUCCUAAAGCAACAUCGGUGCAAUGGACUAUUGUCAUGUGUUCAGGGAUGAGUGCUUUCUUUCUACUUUGCUAAAGAAACAUCGGUGCGAUGGACCAUUGUCAUGCGUUCCACUAAUAUUUGUAUGUCCUGUGUCACUGUUUAUAGGUUCCACUAAUAUUUGUCUGUCCUGUCACUCUUUAUAACUUACAAGAGAGUUCCUAUCGUUCUAGAGUGGGCGCAUGAUGCUGCUGAACUAAAAACUGAAAUCGAAAUGGUUACGAAACGAACCCUAAGUUUCUCUCCUUAUUGAGUAAAUUUUAGUUAGGUGAAUCAUGCAUGUAGAUUUACACAUUAUGUAGAUAUAUGAUUCCACAUAAUUUUAUUAUUACUCAAUCACAAAUGAGGUAACAAUUUGUUAUAUACAUCAAUUUACAUGAGAGUAUCACAAGCAGAUAAUAGACCCCUUACUAGCUCCGCUGUCGUACAUUUUGCCGGUUCAUUCUUCCAAUAUUCCGGCAUUCAAAUUUACUGAUGAUCUGGUCACUCAAUACAAUUACUACAUAAAAAACUGGCACCAAUAGGAAUAUGCAGAAUGUGGCAGGACUCAUAUCUCCGGUUUUGUUCAUCUUGUUAUAUACGGAUAGAAAACACCGCAUGUCUAGCAAAACUUUUCCAGGAAGAAGUUCACUUAAAGUGCCGCUUUGCCAGUUUACAUGAACCUCCUAUUGAUUUGGGUUUGUACUGCUAUCUGCAAUAAUAUAUACGAAGACUACCAUGGUUCAGAGUUGUUACCAAGAAAGUUUCUAAUAUAUGACGGCCUGCUCCAACCAUCCUCCAUCAGAAUUAGGUUAAGGCGUAUCAUCAAUUUCUCUGCGGCAUCUUCCUCCAAAACGGUUAACGAAUCAGACGGUCGCCUCCGUAGUGGACAACCCUGAAAAAUCCAAAUGAAGGUACUUAAAAUAGAUUUGCUAUCAAAGUCAUACGUCGAUAUACAUGUAGAAAUGAGAAAACGUACCUUUUUGUCCUGAUACAACUUUAGAUAUUCAAGUGAUUCCUCAUAAAAUCCACAAUGGUAGAGAAGAAUGCUGUAAUCUCUUAAUUCCUUCGAAAAAAAAAAUGAGCUGGCCAAUAAUUCAGUGGAGUACACACGUUAAAGCAUAAAGAGAGAAUUGGUGGUUGAGCUUUGUGUUGUGGGUGGAAAAAGUUUAGGUUAAAAAUUUGUCGGUGUGAUGAGUGAUGGUUGUUUUCUUUCUACUUUCCUAAAGCAACAUCGGUGCAAUGGACUAUUGUCAUGUGUUCAGGGAUGAGUGCUUUCUUUCUACUUUGCUAAAGAAACAUCGGUGCGAUGGACCAUUGUCAUGCGUUCCACUAAUAUUUGUAUGUCCUGUGUCACUGUUUAUAGGUUCCACUAAUAUUUGUCUGUCCUGUCACUCUUUAUAACUUACAAGAGAGUUCCUAUCGUUCUAGAGUGGGCGCAUGAUGCUGCUGAACUAAAAACUGAAAUCGAAAUGGUUACGAAACGAACCCUAAGUUUCUCUCCUUAUUGAGUAAAUUUUAGUUAGGUGAAUCAUGCAUGUAGAUUUACACAUUAUGUAGAUAUAUGAUUCCACAUAAUUUUAUUAUUACUCAAUCACAAAUGAGGUAACAAUUUGUUAUAUACAUCAAUUUACUAGCUCCGCUGUCGUACAUUUUGCCGGUUCAUUCUUCCAAUAUUCCGGCAUUCAAAUUUACUGAUGAUCUGGUCAAUACAAUUACUACAUAAAAAACUGGCACCAAUAGGAAAAUGCAGAAUGUGGCAGGACUCAUAUUUCCGGUUUUGUUCAUCUUGUUAUAUACGGAUAGAAAACACCGCAUAUCUAGCAAAACUUUUCCAGGAAGAAGUUUCACUUAAAGUGCCGCUUUGCCAGUUUACAUGAACCUCCUAUUGAUUUGGGUUUGUACUGCUAUCUGCAAUAAUGUCUACGAGGACUACCAUGGUUCAGAGUUGUUACCAAGAAAGUUUCUAAUAUAUGACGGCCUGCUCCAACCAUCCUCCAUAAGAAUUAGGUUAAGGCGUAUCAUCAAUUUCUCUGCGGCAUCUUCCUCCAAAACGGUUAACGAAUCAGACGGUCGCCUCCGUAGUGGACGACCCUGAAAAAUCCAAAUGAAGGUACUUAAAAUAGAUUUGCUAUCAAAGUCAUACGUCGAUAUACAUGUAGAAAUUAGAAAACGUACCUUUUUGUCCUGAUACAACUUUAGAUAUUCAAGUGAUUCCUCAUAAAAUCCACAAUGGUAGAGAAGAAUGCUGUAAUCUCUUAAUUCCUUCGGAUCUGCUUCUAGGAGAAUAAGACGUUCACAAGCUGUGACAAUAGACACAAUGUUCAGAUAACAAUAUGUGGACAUAAUAUGUGGCAGCAGGCACAAUAUGUCCAACAGUGACGAUAAAAUGAAAAUUUCAAAUUGAAGUACAAGAAUUUAACUUGAAAAGUCAAAUCCUACCAUUAACUAAAAAUCACCACGGGACCUCAGACAGGUUAGAGAUGCUUCUACAACUUUAUUUAAAGAUGGCUAUGGAUAACAUGUUAUUUUACUUGAAAUGACUUAUUGGUAAGGAGUCGGACCCUGUCCUCCAGAAAAUGCAACUACAAUUGUCCCAAGACAUUCCCGGUGACAUCUCAAUCUAUCUUACCGCUUCAACAGCUUCAAGAAGCAUAAUCUAUUGACUUUGACAUUACCUUCUUGACACUGGGAUUAAAUAAGAUUCAAUAAAUGCGUACCAGAUAGGGCACGCCUCAUAUCCCCAAAAUGUACACUAGUCCAAACACCACGAUCUAGUCUAUGUUGAGCAGCCUUCGCAGAUGCAAGCUGAAAGCCACUGCAAAAAUAGAAAGGAUCCUCACAUAUAUGCACUUAACUUGUAUUAGUUUUCAGUUGAAACUACAUUCAUUUCGGACAAAGUACCUGUCUUCAUUUAUGUUUGAUCUAUCAAUAAAGUUAGCAGCACGUGCUGCCCUCAAGAACAAAUUCCCUGGUUGAUCAUGCUGAAACGGCCAGAAUGCGUCCUUCAAAUUUCUUAAAAUCUGUACAUACAGUAAACUAUGAGAACAGAUAUAGCUAAGAUUAAAGGCUUGGACACAUGUCUACACACCUUAUCAAACAUUAACCAAAUAUGUAUCUAUAUACAAUUCAAUGCCUUAAAAGGCAAAGGCAUGGGCGAGACGUUCCAUGGAUAACCCCGCCUUCGCCUCACGAGACCUAAAUUUAUAUAUAUAAUACUUUGUAAAACAAAUAUUCAUUGUCAUUCAAAGAUGCACCAGUCGCAAACAAGUUUAACUCACAUCAUAAACAAGUUUAACCAAGCAAUCAAAUGUACACAAAGACACAAGCAUACACACAAAUGUACACAAAGAUGCAUGCAUAUAAUCGAUAAUCUAUAGUUCUACUCACCAAAAUCUAUGCUUACAACUGCUCAAUCAAAAUCUAAUGGUUGAAAUCUACAUCCUAGCAGAGAGAACGUUUCUCUUCUUUAAAAAAAAAUUAACAGUCGUUGGAUGAAUGUUGGUGAACAGAAACUAUUGUACUCAUUGGUGAAUUGUAUAUCAUGAUUCAGAGGACCUGUAGAUAUGUUACCAACUCAGGUCCAUGUCCAUAAUAUUCAGACUAAAUAUACAAGUUACCUUCAAACUAGGAGGACCUGUGGGUAAUCUAGAGCACAUGGAACCAAUUUGAAUAACAUAGAUUGCAUUUCCAUGACCAAAGAUAAAUGACAAAGGAACUAAUCAAUUAACAAAAUACCACAGGCAAUAUGAUCAUAUCGCUCAUUUAAAAUAUCUAUAUCGAAUGUUUUGGGGUUGAGUUCUAACUAAUUUAUCCUAAACCUCUUGGCAUUUUCAAAUCCCUAAUCCAAACACAGGGUGAGAGAACUAGGAGUUUUAGCGUACACAACUCGCUGACAUAGGACAAAAAAAAUUAAGGCAAAACAAACAAAUUUCAACAUGAAAACAUAAGUCACCUCCACUAAAAGGGCUUGCGAAGUCAUUAUGUGCACAUUAUCAGAUUCCUUGCUUUUCUGUUUAUGAUAACCUCUGGGAAGACUAUGAAGAUCAUGAGGAAAGAAUAUCUCCACAUCGAAAUCCAAAAAACCCCAUAGGCGAAGCAUUUUCAAAAUUUCUGAGUAUAUGAGUGAAAGCAUUGCAGGUGAUCCUGAACGAUGUGUCAAAACCUGUUUGCAACAUCAACAUUAAACUCCUGAAAACAAUCCCCAUAUUCUACUGUUCUCUCAACCUUGAAAUAACAAAUAAGUAAGGCAGACUUCCAUACCGAGUGGAUAUAUAGAGCCCGUGAUUCAGAGUGAUACCUUGCAAUUGUCCUUCGAAAACCCUGAAAAAAAGGGCAGAUAAAAAAUAGUCAGCGAAAGCAAGAAUUUUGCAGCGAGGGGAAGAGCCAAGUUGAUACACAGAUCCUGAUUUAUUUAAAACAAAUGAUAGCUUUUCUGCUACAAAGUAAUUGUUUCCCGAUAUCAAGUUUAUCUUAGUUUCUCCCUGCCAGAUUCCUUCAACAUUAUAAGUUCGGCACUUUUGCAACACAAAGGCUCCCAACCAAGCUAAAAUUUAGUUAAAAAUAAAACGAAUCCUUAGAGUUUUUAAGUUCAACUUUGAAUCAACUACAAAGGAAUAAUAAUCCAUGUUACUGCAAACAAAAACUCUAUCAAUCAACAUACCUUAUUUACGUACAAAUAGUUUUCCAAACUCUCCAACAAUUUCUCAGGCGAGGAUCUAAAUGAAGAGUUGUAGUGAGAACAAUAGUCCAUGGAAAGAUCACCAAACCUACUAAUAAAAGCAUCCACCGGAAGCGGAACUGAAGAAUGUGACACAAGGGAGUCAUCUUCUGCUGCAAUGUAAAGAGCUGUUUUCCCCAAAUCAACACAUCUAUUGAUGGUAAUGCUGGUUUCCCUCUCUAUAUCAGACAGAUGGCGAAUUUGUGAGCAGAACCCCUCCCUGGCCUCCUGGUUGUUUCUCAAUUAUAAAUCAAUCAAAAUCCAAACUAAGUAAACCCCAUUGCAUAAUCAAGGCAUACAUAGUCUUUACCAAACAAAUACAAAAAGACAUUGCAUCAUAACAAAGUAUAAAAUUACUCCCAAAAGAAGUGUAUCAUUUGACCUAUGCACGAGAACAGUUAAUCCAGCAAAUGAACAUAAUUAUCCAAUUGACAGUUGCGAUAGUCUUGACCUAAACUGGGUGGUCGGAAAAAUGUAUUGUGCAAUGUAAUUUACAAGGUGUCUAAUAUGAUACAAAACAGUUUUGCAUUAAAGUGGGAAAACCAGAAAAGUAAGGAAAACAACUUAUCUAAAUUUUUGAGGUAGGUCACGAUAAAAUAGUAUAUCAUUUUAAGAAACAGUUUAUACCUUGCACCUCAACACGCCACAUUACUUUUAGAAGGCUUGGUACUCUCAACCUCUCUUGACUCCUAGAAAAUCAAUAGAACCUAAAAUGGAUGAAACACUACCAUACAUAACUGAGAGAAGCUCAUCCGAAACUAGAGCUAGAAACGCCUUAUUUCAUUUUGUUUAGCUCGCUGUUUUUAUUACUUCAUCAAUAAUAUAAAGGGAAAACUUGUUUAUAUUACUUCAUCAAUAUGCUUCAAUUGUACCUACCAAAAGCAAUGUGAAGUUCCUUGUGUUUAUUUUUCUUUCCGCUAGACAAAUUAAAGACGAUGUUCUCGUUAAAAACUAAACUCCAAUAAGAAUGGCAUGGUUAGCAUUCUUUGUUAAGAAAUAACGGAAAUAACUGAAACGACGAACAUGUUUCUUGCAUCAUCAUGGUUUGAUCAUUUCUUGAAAUUAUUCUCACUAUGAUACCUCAAUUUCAUUUCAAUUUAUUAUGCAAAUUACCCAUUUUUUAUACAUGUUGUAAAUUAUAGCCAACUAAACAUAUGAAACUGAUAUAUGAUUAUUUUCCAGCUCAAGAAAUGAAAUGGGAACAUAUGCUGAACAAUUACAUUAAAAAUUGGGGAAAAAAAAACUAGAUUAAAGUGAAACUAAUGCAUUCAUUUCAUCAAUUUAAAAAUAAUAAUUAAAAAGUUAAAAUUAAAAGAAGAACAAUUUAUAAUUUAUCAGGAAGAAGCAGGUAAAUUUCUUACUCUGGCGAGGGAGGUGAGGGUUCCGGAAGAAUCGAGAGCAUCGUGGAGCACGAAAUUGAAGUCACUGCCGACGUCGGAUUGGGAGCGGCACGAGAGGCGAAGAGGGCGAGGGGAUGAUUGGUAUUUCGAGAAUUUUGAAGAGGAAGAAGAAGAUGAAGAGGUUGUGAGAAGCGAGUUCCUGAGAAUCCAUGGGGAAGAAGAAGAGGAAGCACCCAACCAAGUCAUCGUUUUCUUUUACCAGAAAAAUUCUGAGAUAUCGAGUCAGUUGGUGGUUGUUUCUAUAUCGGAUUUUAUUUUAUUUUACUUUUUGGUUGGAUAAUUUCUAUAUCUGAUUUAUCGAGUUAUUUUAUGGGAAUUAUCUGUCUAAUUUGGACCACUUCUCUUCUCUUGUUAGGGGUUCUAUAUUAAUUAAUUAUUUAUUUAUUUUGAGUUUUUUUUUUUUUUGUUUUUUUUUUUCCCAAGAGGAAGCUCUUUUCAUUAGGAUGAGUUUUUCCUCAAUUUUAUUUCGGGACCCAUUUAUAAAACUUCGAUUACUUCGGUGAUUUUUAAAUCAUUUCAAAAUGGUAGUAACAUACCAUUUUUUGUAAUUCCUUUCUAUCAAAUAAUUGUAUGAAUGGUUAAUUCCUCCGUAAUACACUUUACUUUUGAUUUUUUUUAAUCAUUCGCUAAUAUAAUAUAUCACUCUUUAAAAGAUCAUUUAUGCAAAAAAUUAUUAAAACAUGAGAUUAUUUAGUCAUCAAAAUAUAUAAAAAAUGAUAGACGAAUUUGGUAAAAACAUUAUGAACGGUCCAUCUAUUUGGUAUAAUUGAUCGACUGAAUGACGUUUUAUUUUGUUGAUGCACAAAAUCAGCGAAGACUUUGGUACAACAGAAAGUGUCAGGUUUUGUGACCUUCGCUUGGUUGCUUCGGUCACUAGUGAGGAUAAGUACGUAAAUGAAUAGAGACAGAGAAGCAAACACAGGAUGUACGUGGUUCACCCAGAUUGGCUACGUCCAUGGAGUAGAGGAGUUCUUAUUAGUAGUGAAGGGCUUACACAAGUACAAAGGAUCAAGCUCUCAAUUUAGUGAGUUCUUGUGAAUGAUUUAACACAAAAAUGGCAUUAGCCAAUAUUGUGGGGGAAUGACCCCUAUUUAUAGAAAAACUUGUAGCUUUGUCACAUUGACAUGUGUCAUGUUAUGAUUGGUUCUUGAUGUCGACACGUGCUGCGCUCUGAUUGGCUUCUAAUCUUGACACGUGUCGAGUAGUGAUUGGCCUCCUGGUCGGAGGGGAACUCUUGUGGGUCCUUGACAGUAUAGCGUUGGCCGGUGCUCGGUAGUUUCGGGAUUGGUCAAGUAUGGUACAAACAGUGCUCCCCUAAGUUCCCGAGUGAGGGAAACUCCUCGGUUGGGGACUUGCAAGAUCCAAUCCCUUGAGUAAUCACGAAACUUCUAAGUACCGAAGUGUGGUCUGAUCUUCAUCUGCCCUUCUCUGGAAGUACCUUUCCUCCAUCCGGGAAUGGUGUAUUUAGCUGAUGUUGACGCACAAGGUAAUGUAUCAAUUUCACUUGAAGCUUAGUUGUAGUUUCGGGCUUAGUCAAGUGUGAUACAAACCCUAUAGUAGGAGUCCCCAAGUCGCCGAGCUAGGAGAUCUGCCGAAAGAGGUGACAGACAAGGUAAGCAGUCAAACUUCCAAGUAAGCAACCCAGGAUCAGAGGUUUGACUUAGGCUUCCGGUUGAUUGUUCUCCUUCUCCUUGUCUCUCAUUCAACUGCCAGGAUAAGGAGAAGCAAAUGGAUAAGAGAUGAUAUGAGAUACUUUUGCUUUUGAAGAAGUAACUUUCCACAGGCUUAUUCUUGAACUGUGCUGGAGGGUUUUCUGGUGCCCUUCAGAGUAUAAGGCCGACUCAAAAAUUUGAGGGUCAAAACAAGUCCAUCAAAUCUAGAGUACGUUCGACCUUGAUGAUAUGGGAUACUUUUGCUGUUGACGGAAUAAUGAAUGUGGUAUGGAAAGGUGUCGUGCUGUAGUGAUCUGUUUCAGCUCACCGUUGAACCUUCUGCUUCAAUCUUUUGCAUGGCAGAAGUGGUGUGCAACCUUUGCAUUUAAAUGGUCCUUCAGAACAUUCCUUCAUAGUGACUCAUCCACGCUUGGCAGCUUCAGUGUAAAGAGCCAAUAUCUGAUCAACUGUCAUGAGGUAUUUGCCGGUGGAAUUCGUGACCUUGACAGCAGUUGAGGAUGAGUACUCGAGAGCAAUGCUAAGUAAGCAACCAGGCAAAGGCUCCAGGCAGUCAGUUCCAAAUUGGAGGUUUGAUUUCAGGUUCCGACUGAUUGCUCUCUUUCUCCUUGUCCUGCAGGUGUGGACAAGGACAAAGACAAAGAUAGGGAGAAAGCAUGAUAUGGGAUACUCUUGCUUUCGACCCUGAUGAUAUGAGAUACUCUUGUUCUUGGUGUGGCUUAUUUGCUGAGGUAUUAUCGGGGGGAAAUAAAGCUGAGUAUUUCGAGAGGUUAUGUUGAGGGUGCCUUUUCGAAUGCGAGAAAGGGUUGAGCAUUUUUUGCAGGUUUGCCUGUCCGUUGAGGAGGGAGGUCAAUGUAUAUAGGGAUUUCCCAAUAACAAGUAGUAAUGCUAUUCCUUUUACCCUUCUUGGUCACAGCAAUGUAGUGGGAGUUGCCAGCUUCACGUGUUUUAAUUUUGUCAGAGCACUUUGAAAAAGUGGUAUGUGGUAUCUGGAAAGCUGAUAUUACGUGUGAAGAUUACAGACAAGCUUUAUCUAAGGAAAUCUGGCUCUCGAAGUUCUGAGAGUUGUGCCUCUUCGGUUUUCGAACAAGCAAUCCCGUCGAGGAUCUGACUUUCGAGAUUCGGAAAGCGGUGCUACUCCGGUUUUUGAGAAAGUAAUUAUGUUGGGAGUCUUUUCUCGAAUGUGAGUAAAGGUUGGACGUUCUUGCCAACCUGUCUUGCCGCAAAACACGGAGGUCGACACACAUAGGGACUUUCCAGUUGUCAAGCAGUGGUGCUGUUCCUUUACCCUUAUGGGUAAUAGUAGGGUAGCUGGAACUUCGAAAUUCUCGUGCCUAAACUUUGUCAGAGAUCUUUGACAAAGUUAUAUGUGGUACCCGAGGAGUUGAUGGUGCAUAUGGAGAGCGGUGAUUGAACAGUAAGAUUCACGUGCUUUUUACUUCACCAGAAAUCUUCGACAGAUUGCCCGUAAUUUUCGCAAAGCUGAUUGUGCAUGUGACAGGUGCUGACGAGGCUGAAAAAAGCAGGUGCUUCUUCGAUUUCUGAGAUCGGCCCUCGUGGUCUCUGAGCAGCCCAGCUUUUGAGAAAGCAAACGCCUCUUCGAUUUCUGAGAUCGGCCCUCGUGGUCUCUGAGCAGCCCAGCUUUUGAGAAAGCAAACGCCUCUUCGAUUUCUGAGAUCGGCCCUCGUGGUCUCUGAGCAGCCCAGCUUUUUGAGAAAGCAAACGCCUCUUCGAUUUCUGAAGCUCCGUCGAGUGCAGAUUUUUUAUAGAGGCUGGCAUUAAGUUCCACAGCACACCUGAAUCUCUACCAGUAGAAGCUCAUUUCUUGCACUUCUAAGAUCUUGAUUUGUCUGACCUCUUCCUUCUUCAACACAUUUGAAAAUGUCUGGACCCUCCGACCGUCGUUUUGACCUGAACCUUGGAGAAGAGACAGCCACGCCUUCUCCAGACAACAUAUGGCGCCCAUCCUUCAUAUCCCCUACUGGUCCUCUUACCGUUGGGGAUUCUGUGAUGAAGAAUGAUAUGACCGCUGCAGUGGUGGCCAGGAACCUUCUCACUCCCAAAGAUAACAGACUACUUUCCAAACGGUCUGAUGAGUUGGCUGUUAAGGACUCUCUGGCUCUUAGUGUUCAGUGUGCAGGUUCUGUGUCUAAUAUGGCCCAACGCCUAUUUGCUAGAACCCGCCAAGUUGAAUCAUUGGCUGCUGAAGUGAUGAGUCUCAAACAGGAGAUUAGAGGGCUCAAGCAUGAGAAUAAGCAGUUGCACCGGCUCGCCCAUGACUAUGCUACAAACAUGAAGAGGAAGCUUGACCAGAUGAAGGAAUCUGAUGGUAAGGUUUUACUUGAUCAUCAGCGGUUUGUGGGUUUGUUCCAAAGGCAUUUAUUGCCUUCGUCCUCUGGGGCUGUACCUGGUAAUGAAGCUUCAAAUGAUGAACCUCCAAUGCCUCCUCCUUCUGGGGUUUUGUCAAGUACUGAGGCUCCGGAUAACCACCCUCCGGUGCUUUCUCUUUCUGGGGCUCUACCGACUGCUGAGACUUCCCCUAAGCAACCUUUGUGAAGGCUCCCUUUUGUUUGUUUAUUUUGACUCAUGUAUAUGUACAUAUUUGUGGCUUAUCGAAAAUAUUAAUAAAUAAGCUUUGCUUCAUUUCAAUAUAUUGUGUUAAAUACACCAAAGCCUUCUUCAUAAAGUUCUUUGAAUUUUUGCUUUUGUUGAAACCUGUAUUGUUGAAGCUUUGUGAGUGAAGCAUGUAGUUUGAGGUAGUGUUCCCUUAAUUUCCCGAGUGAGGAAAACUUCUCGGUUGGAGACUUGAAAAAUCCAAGUCACUGAGUGGUUGUGAGACUGCCGAGUAUUAAGGUGCAGUAGCAUAUGGUGGGAGUCCCCCAAGUCUUCAGGCGAAGAGAGUUGCCGAAUGAGGUGUCUCGCUUGUUACUAAUUUGUCAAAGUAACGAAUCCUUGUUUCGAUGUCACACAUUCGCAUAUGCCUUAUCUAAAAAUAUUUCCAACUUUUGUGUGUUUGAUGCUGCAUGCUAUUGACUAGACAAGAUCAAGUGCAAUUAGUAGCUUUUCUCUCUUUUUCAUCUUUUCUUUGGUGGAAUUGCUUUUCGUUUCCACUAAUCAGCCUGAGUGGAUGCAAGAUAACACCAUUCUCUAUAGCUCAGAUCGCAAAGUCGUCUUCAUGAAAGUUGUUCCUUAUCUUGUGAACUACAACAUCUCCAAAUUUGAGAUCUAUCGGAGUAGUACAACUCCAGAAAUUCAGGUAUGAUGAGUAACUGUUCAUCAAUUUUCUGUUAACCCGUCAGACUUGUUGUGAGCUUCUAAACUCCAUUUUUUCUUGUUCAUCUCAACAUACUUUCUUCAUCGAAGUUGUUCCUCACCUUGUCAGCUACAACAUAUCCAAAUUUGAGAUCCAUCGGAGCAGUACAAAUCCAGAAAUUCAGGUAUGAUGAGUGACUGUUCAUCAUUUUUCUGUCAACCUGUCAGACUUGUUGUGAGCUUCGAAACUCCAUUUUCUCUUGUUCAGAUCAACAUACUUUCUUCAUCGAAGUUGUUCCUUAACUUGUGAACUACAACAUAUCCAAAUUUGAGGUCCCUCGGAGCAGUAUAACUCCAGAAAUCCAGGUAUGAUGAGUGACUGUUUAUCAUUUGUCUGUCAACCCGUCAGAUUUGUUGUGAGCUUUGAAACUCUAUUUUCUCUUUGCUCAGAUCAGCAUGCUUUCUUCAUUGAAGUUGUUCCUCAGCUUGUGAACUACAACAUAUCCAAAUUUGAGAUCCCUCGGAGCUGUAUAACUCAAGAAAUUCAGGUAUGAUGAAUGACUGGUUAGUAUUUUUCUGUCAACCCGUCAGAUUUGUUGUGAGCUUCGAAACUCCAUUUUCUAUUGUUCAGAUCAGCAUGCUUUCUUCAUUGAAGUUGUGCCUCAUUGUCUCUUUCAUAACAUAUCAAAAAUUCAGAAUGAACUAAUGGUUAAAUAUUUCCAGAUCUUCGAAACAUCAUAGCAGCUUCGAAAUCUGCAAGAAUCCGACUGUCAUGUUUGGAGCUUCAACACUUUAAUUUCCGUCGCUCAAACAGAAAUGGUUCCUUCUUGAAAGUUGUUCAUAUGCUCAAAAACUAUAGGGUGUCCAAAAUUCAGCUCCAUUGGAGAAGAGCAGAGGUUGCAGAAAUUUGAUAGAUGAAAGGAGGCGGAAGAGGGAGAGAGAGAAAAAAGUCUCUUGGGUUGGAUUUCUAUUUUGGGGCAGAUUCCAAGUUUUGUAGCACCUUCAUUAUUGAUGAAUUGCUUGUACUUUUGUCCAUUAUGAAACUUGGGACUUUGGCUUGUUGUUGGAUCUAUUAUAAUAUGUUUGGAAACAUAUACAUAAUUGCUUGUUUGGUUAUGACAGGGAUGUUGUGGGUGUAGAACAAAACAAAUGUUUGUGUUGACCUGUGUUUUUGUACAAGUUCAAGGGCAUCUUGGGUUUUGUGAACAAAAUUUGUUUAUUUGGAGCAAGGUUUUGUGUUGAAGCUUUGUAGGUGAAGCUUUGGUGUUGAAGCUUUCUAGGUGAAGCUUUGAUGGUGAAGCUUUCUGGGUGAAGCUAUGUAGGUGAAGCUUUCUAGGUGAAGCUUUUUUAGGUGAAGCUUUGUAGGUGAAGCUUUUUUAAGUGAAGCUUUUCGGGUGAAGUUUUUUUGGGUGAAGCUUUGUGGGUGAAGCUUUUUAGGUGAAGCUUUGUGGGUGAACUUUUUUAGGUGAAGCUGUUUGGGUGAAGCUUUUUGGAGGUGAAGUUUUUUUUGGGUGAAGCUUUUUUAGGUGAAGCUUUUUGGGUGAAGCUUUGAUGGUGAAGUUUUUUUUGUGAAGCUUUUUGGGUGAAGCUUUGGAGGUGAAGCUUUUCGGGUGAAGUUUUUUGGAUGAAGCUGUUUUUUUUUUUUUUUUUUUUUUUUUUUUUUUUUUGGGCGCUUGACACGGUCUUCAUUUGCUUGUUUUGUAGUGACUGUGGAAGACGGAUUGCUUUCUGAUUGAGAAGGGUUCCGGCAUCGCUUUGCACCAUCUUCAUGUGGGUAAUAUAGGAACUUCCUUAUGUUUUGAUCAUGCAUGUAGUGAUAGAAUUUGUUUCUUCUUAUUGUAGAUGUCAGAGCCUGGAAGUUCUAGUGAUGAGGGCUCUUCUAGCUUUAGCUCUAAGUCUGAGUCUGCAAUGUCGGAGUCUUCAGGGUCUUUGUUAGAGUCCGGUACUAGAGAAACAUUGGAUGAUCUUCCCAACCGUCAAACUUUAGCUAUUGCUAGUUCUUCCUCCAUGGCGUUGGGUGAGGGGGUUGUUUUUGAUGCCAUACCCAUAGUUCGCUCUGAGUUCACAGCAGACCAUCUAAAGAAUAACUUGUUAGAUAAUGAGAAGCAGGUUGAGGCGCUAAGGCAGUCAUGUAAUAUCCCUCGUAGUGUAGGGAUACGUUUGGUACAUGAUGAAGAAUGGCCUUCUGAGCCUCCCCAGGGUCAUGUUAUGUUCUACACCCAGAUAUUACUGACUUUAGGGGUGAGACUACCUUUACAUCCGUGGUUGCAAAAGAUGUUAUCUUUGAUCGGAUAUGCACCUGGGCAACUCAAUCCUGGUUUCUGGGAUACUUUGAUUGGAUUUUAUAUCAUUUGGAUGGAGUGUGGGUUGUGUGAGCCUUCCUUCCAUCAGUGGCGUUACUGUUACAAGAUGCGCCCAGCAAAAUCAUGCACUGGUUAUGCCGAGUGUGCAUGUCGGAGUGAGAGAGAGCGUAUUGUGUAUGGUAAGAAAAAGGCAUACUACACAUGGAAAAACCGUUGGUGCUUUCUGUAUAAUGAUUGGGAGUAUGAUAAGGGUGUCACGCCUGAGCGACGUGUGCUUACUCACUUCCAGACUGUAGGUUGUAACGUAUCAACCGUUCGUACUAUUUGCUAUUUGUUGUGGUCUUUUCUUGCUUCUAAACACUUUGCUUCAUGUAGUGACGCGGGGCACCAUCCAACUGUUUGGGCAGGAGCUAUCUGACAUAGAGAAGGUGUUGAGGGUGCCCAAAGAGGAUAGACACUUAAGCAAGCUACGACCCUUAUUUCGUCGGUACGGUUUCCAACCCUUAGUUUCCGAGAGCCAGGGACGAUCGAGUAAGUUGCAUCCUUCAUGUAAACUUAGCUCAAUUCCUUACUUUAUUUGGAAAGUUGUAUUUCUUAUUUUGAUUUUCCUUAUGCAGUGGAGAAGGUAAGCAAGAAAACAGGGACUAGCACCAAUAAAAGGAAAGCACCAGUGUUAGUUCCUUCGGAAGACAUCCUACCGCAUAAGAAAAUUCAUAAGUUCCGAGGGGAACCAUCCGUUAGACCUAAGUCCCAAGAUGGGGUCCUUAAGGGGCCUGCCUUUAGGAAGACUGGAGUCGAGGCCGUUGAAAAUACUGCUGCCGUAGUUGUAGGAGAAGGGAGCCGACUGUUGCCUCCUCCUCUUACUAUGGAGCACACUGUCCAGGAAAGUGAUCCUGGUUCCCGCCAUGAGGGGAAAGGCAAGGAAAGAGCUGGCAGUGUCCCGUGGAAGGACUUGAGGGUUGCCACGCGGCCAAAGGAUUUUGGGGAUAUCAACAAUUGCUUGGCAGGGCGUCGAUUCGCCUUCGAUGAGCUCGGAGAGCCCUUAGCUAAGGAUGAAUCGGAUUGCGACCGGAUGUUGAAGCUGUCUUCAUAUGUGAGUGUUACUUUGUCAUUUCCUUACUUUUUCCUCUUUAUUAUCAUUAUUUAGGUAGUGAUGAUCGUCUUGCCAUGCAGGUCAUGGCCGAGUAUCACGACAGACUGCAAGAGGUUGAGCGGUACAAGGCAAAACUGAAGGAGAAUAAGCAGCUUGUGGACGAGGCCCGAAGGAAUAAGGGACACUUAUUCCUACUCUCUUCAGCUGUGUCAGGUAUGGGUGUGCCGCUUGAAAGUCGUUUCCCACAGACGGCCUUAUUGGAAGAUUCAGAUAUGGGUGUGCCGCCGCUUAUGGAAUAUAUGACAUUCACUUGGCGUUGGUUACGGUUAUCCCUUUGAGGGUGAAGAAGGAAUUGAUCAAUUUUUCCUUCUCGUGCAAAGCUUCAAUACGAUCACGGAGGAUGAUACAUUUCUCGCUAUCAUGGCCGUUAUGCUCAUGGUAGCAACAAAACAUGCCCGCGUUAUUCGGGGGCGUGUAAUCUGGGUGCCUCGGCUUUGGCUUUGGUAUCAGGUGAGCUAUGCUGGGGUAAAUGGCCGCGCAUGUGGCAUUCAAGGGCGUGUAUGUCUCAUACCUUGGGGUAGGGGGUAUCUUGACGCGGGUUUGACCCACUGCAUUGACUGCCUGGGGGCGAGCGUUAUUGUGGCGAUACCCUUGGUUAUCGGGAUAGUGUCCCUUAUUCUUUUUACUGGAAGGAGAGUGGUGAGGAUGGAAAUCCUUCCUCUUGCCUUGAAAUUGAUAUGUCUGUUGAUUCGGUGAAGCAUUAUGCAAGGCAUGGGGAGGUGCCACUGCUGUUUGGAAAGUCGAGGUCUUCUCAUUUAGGUGAGUCUGGCUUUCACCUCCCACUUGUUGAUAAAGGAUGGUUGUAGGGGGUUUCUCCUGAUAUGUCUUUGCCUCGGCGGAGGCAUGGUUAUAAGCCUGCGCCAUCACCUCAGAGUAAGUCUUCCAAGUAUUGGCAUUGAUGAUCAUGUAUUUAAAGAAACAAUCACGUAGGCCUGCCGUGAAGGCUUUGAGGGCAGUCUUGUCGUCUGCCUCGGCACACCGGGAGUAUUCAUGGCUGAAGCGGCCAGCAUACAUACGUAAUGACUCGUCUGGCUUCUGGCGGAUAGUGUACAGGUCAUCUGCAGAGUGCAAGCGAUCGGUUUGGAAAAUGUGUUGGGAAACAAAUAGUUUCCUCAAUUCCUCAAAUGAGUCUACCGUCUCAGGUGUAAGACGACAAUACCAAUUUAGAGCUCCGCCAGAGAGGGUGGAGGGGAAGAGAAGACAUCGCUCUUCGUCGGUGUGCAUCCGGUAUGCCAUGGUGGACUCAAAGAGGUUAAGGUGCUCAAUCGGGUCCUCUUUUCCAGUAUAAAGUUGCAAGCCAAGCUUCUGCUUUGUCUUUGCUUGAAGGGGGUGUUGAGGAUCCUCCUUGUAAGAGGGCCAGGCCUGGGUUGGUUCCAGUCAGGUAUUUCAGCCUGACGUUCAGCCUUCAACUUGUUUACUUCCUCAAGAAGUUGUAGGACAAGGGGGUCAUGAGCGGAGUUAUGUGCCACUGGAGCUUUCUUUCGUAAAUCUCCAUCUCCUCUUGGAAUUAGGAAGGUUGAUGAUCAAGGGCAUGUGAUUUUUCCCUGGACUCGCUGUACUGGCUUCCAGGGUAUGUCUGUCGGAACACCUCUGAGUCCCCUGUACCCUCAUGUCUCUCUAGGACUUGUUGCACCUUCCCCAAGUUGGUGGCCGGCUCGGGCCGUGGCAGGGGACCGAGUCUCUCAGAAAUCCUUGGGUCAUUGAUCUUUGAGCUUAUAUGGAUGGAAUUCUCUCGACGUUGCUUCAGGAAAUCCCGACAAUCGCGAAAGACGGCUUUCGAUCCUUCUGCCCCUUCAGCAAAGAGGUGUCUCCCUCCGCUUCUCAUGGUUCGGGUCGAAGCAACUGGGUUAAGAGAAGCCUCAUGUUGAUUAUCAAAUCGAGGGGUAAUUUGUUCCCUAUCAGGGAUAUCUAUGUCGAAUGCAUGUGACCCUCCAUGUUGGAGGGCACCCAGUUGAUGGUUGACUUCCACGGGGGCAACAAGCUCGCGUGUCUGAGCUUGCCUAGCUUCGUGAAGUGUCUCGAAGAGCUUCUCAUAUUGCUCCUGGAGGACCUCAUUCCUCAUUGCUAUCUUGUUGUUCUGAGCUUCCAACUCAUCGACUUUAGCUUGAAGAAGAACUCGUUUUCCUUCCUUCUUUCGUUGUUUCGCACUAUGUGCAAGGGGGGGUGUCAUUCUGUGUGCUGUGGCUUCCUUCGCUUCCCAUGCUGGAGAGGGAUGCCUGAUCAAAAGAAAGUGUACGAAUGAUAGAAACCAGCUUGACACAGCUGAAGAGAGUAGGAAUAAGUGUCAAUUCCCACAGACGGCGCCAAAUGUUGAUGCACAAAAUCAGCGAAGACUUUGGUACAACAGAAAGUGUCAGGUUUUGUGACCUUCGCUUGGUUGCUUCGGUCACUAGUGAGGAUAAGUACGUAAAUGAAUAGAGACAGAGAAGCAAACACAGGAUGUACGUGGUUCACCCAGAUUGGCUACGUCCACGGAGUAGAGGAGUUCUUAUUAGUAGUGAAGGGCUUACACAAGUACAAAGGAUCAAGCUCUCAAUUUAGUGAGUUCUUGUGAAUGAUUUAACACAAAAUGGCAUUAGCCAAUAUUGUGGGGGAAUGACCCCUAUUUAUAGAAAAACUUGUAGCUUUGUCACAUUGACAUGUGUCAUGUUAUGAUUGGUUCUUGAUGUCGACACGUGCUGCGCUCUGAUUGGCUUCUAAUCUUGACACGUGUCGAGUAGUGAUUGGCCUCCUGGUCGGAGGGGAACUCUUGUGGGUCCUUGACAGUAUAGCGUUGGCCGGUGCUCGGUAGUUUCGGGAUUGGUCAAGUAUGGUACAAACAUAUUUAAUUUUUGCAGAGGGACUUUACAUAUCGAUUUAUAAUAUAAACGGUCUCAAUCGUAAUCAAGAAGUUUUGUAAAUCGGACAUGAAAUAAAAUGAGGAGGAACUUCUCCUCAGGCUCCUUUAUGAAAAAGAUAGACCAUUUGAACUUGAGACACAAUAUUUUUUUAGCUAAACUCCCCUCCCCCUUAGUGUAAAAAUGUCAAUGUACUAAAAAAAAAAACUUAAUUGUCAAAAUGAUUAAUGUGUUAUAGUCAUUUGGCCAAUUUAGUUCCCAUGUUUUCAAUUUGGCCAAUUUAGUCCUCUUGUUUAUCUCUGUUAGCCAAUUAAGAACAUUCCAUCCAAUUUUUGCUAAAGAAUUUAUAAAAAAAAUAUCAUAACCUAUUAUAAAAAAUCAGUUAAAAUAGAAAGAAAUAUAACUUCAAAAUGAAAUAAAAAAUUAAAAAAACCCACUUUGCCAUCCGCCUUGUCCUUGACCUAAACACCAACCCUAGCCACACACGCAGGCAACUUGACGAACAAGUCUCUAGAUCCACCUCAACCCACCUGCCACCGCAUGAGUUCCUUCAUCAUAGUCACAAGAAAAUUAACUAUGACCAAAAUUUACUAUAAAAACGCAAAUCAAUGAGAAAUAUCACGAGGACUAAUUGACCUAAUGACUAAAACACAUACCAUUUUAACAGUUAAGCUUUUUAGUUUAAAGAAAUCUUUAAUGUUUGAAAAAGACUACAACAACAACAACAACAACAACAACAAAGCUUUUUCCCACUAAGUGGGGUCGGCUAUAUGAAUCCUAGAACGCCAUUGCGCUCGGUUUUGUGUCAUGUCCUCCGUUAGAUCCAAGUACUCAAGUCUUUUCUUAGGGUCUCUUCCAAAGUUUUCCUAGGUAUUCCUCUACCCCUUCGGCCCUGAACCUCUGUCCCGUAGUCACAUUUUCGAACCGGAGCGUCAGUAGGCCUUCUUUGCACAUGUCCAAACCACCGGAACCGAUUUUCUCUCAUAUUUCCUUCAAUUUUGGCUACUCCUACUUUACCUCGGAUAUCCUCAUUCCCAAUCUUAUCCUUUCUCGUAUGCCCAUACAUCCCAUGAAGCAUCCUCAUCUCCGCUACACCCAUUUUGUGUACGUGUUGAUGCUUCACCGCCAAACAUUCUGUGCCAUACAACAUCGCUGGCCUUAUUGCCAUCCUAUAAAAUUUUCCCUUGAGCUUCAGUGGCCUACGACGGUCACACAACACGCCGGAUGCACUCUUACACUUCAUCCAUCCAGCUUGUAUUCUAUGGUUGAGAUCUCCAUCUAAUUCUCCGUUCCCUUGCAAGAUAGAUCCUAGGUAGCGAAAACGGUCACUUUUUGUGAUCUUCGCUAGAUUGCUCCGGUCAUUAGUGUGGAUAAGUAUAUAAAUGGAUAGAGAUAGGAAAGCAAACACAAGAUGUACGUGGUUCACCCAGAUUGGCUACGUCCACGAAAUAGAGGAGUUCUUAUUAAUUGUGAAGGGUUUACACAAGUACAUAGGUUCAAGCUCUCCUUUAGUGAGUACAAGUGAAUGAUUUAGUACAAAUGACAUUAGGAAAUAUUGUGGGAGAAUGAUCUCGUAACCACGAAACUUCUAAGUACUGGAGUGUGGUAUCGUCUUGACUUGCCUUAUCUGUCUCAUAGGUAGAUGUGGCAUCUUCUCUGGAAGUACUCUUCCUCCAUCCAGGGUGGUGUAUCUGUAACUGGUGGAGAUGCACAAGGUAAUGUAUCAAUUUCACUUGAAGCUUACUUGUAGUUUCAGGCUUGGUCAAGCGCGAUACAAACCAUGUAGUAGGAGUCCCCCAAGUCGCCGAGCUAGGGGAUCUGCUGAAAGAGGUGACAGACAAGGUAAGCAAUCAGAGCUCCGGCUGAUUGUUCACAUUCUCCCUAUCUUGCAGGUAGCAUGAAGGAUAAAGAGAAGAAAAAUGAGAAGAGAUGAUAUGGGAUACUUUUGCUUUUGAAGAAGUAACUUUCCACAGGCUUAUUCUUGAACUGGGCUGGAGGGUUUUCUGGUUUCCUCCAGAGUAUAAGGCCGACUGAAGAAUUUGAGGGUCAAAACAAGUCCAUCAAAUCUAGAGUACGUUCGACCCUGCUGAUAUGGGAUACUUUUGCUUUUGACAGAGUAAUGGAUGUAUCGGCACGUGUGCUGUUACGCUUGUCUCCACAUGCUUCCUUGUAUCCUUCUCACUUGCCCUAUCUGUUCCUCAGGCAGAUGCGGUAUCUUCCCUGGAAGCAUAAGAUGUUGAAGAUGAGUACUCGAGAGCAAUGCCAGGUAAGUAAUCAGGUAAGGGGUUCCAGGCAGUCAGUUCCUGGCUGGAAGCUUGAUUCCAAGUGCUGACUGAUUGCUCUCUUUCUCCUUGUCUUGCAGGUAAGAACAAGGCCAAAGGAAAAGACAGGGAAAAAAGCAUGAUAUGGGAUACUCUUGCUUUUAACCCUGAUGAUAUGAGAUAUUCUUGCUCUAGUAUAGCUUGUUUACAGAGGUAUUAUCGGGGGGAAAGAAAGCUGAAUAUUUCGAAAGGCUUCGUUGGGAGUGCCCUCUCAGAUAAGAGGAAGGGUUGAGCAUUUUUGCAGGUCUGCCUGUCCGUUGGGGAUGGAGGUCGACAUAUAUAGGAGUCUCCCUAACAUCAAGUAAUAAUGCUAUUCCUUUACCCUGCUUGGUCAUAGCACGGUAGUGGGAGCUGCCAGCUUCACAUGUUUUUUUAACUCUGUCAGAGCACUUUGAAAAAGUGGUCUGUGGUAUCUGGAAAGCUGAUGUUGCGUGUGAAGAUUACAGACAAGCUUUAUCCAAGGAGAUCCAGCUCUUGAAGUUGGGAAAGUGUUGCCUCUUCGGUUUUCGAACAAGCAAUCCUGUCGGGGAUCUGGCUCUCGAGAUUCGGAGAACGAUGCCUCUUCGAUUUUUGAGAAAGCAAUCCUGCUGGGGUCUGGCUCUCGAGAUUCGGAGAGCGGUGUCUUCGAUUUUUGAGAAAGUAAUCAUGUUGGGAGUCUGGCUCUCGAGAUUCGGAGGGCGGUGCCUCUUCGAUUUUGGAGCAAGCAAUCUUGUUGGGAGUGUUUUCUCGAAUGUGAGUAAAGGUUGGGCAUGUUUGCUAGUCUACCUUGCCACGAAGCACAGAGGUUGACACACAGGACUUUCCAAUUAUCCAGCAGUGGUACUGUUCCUUUACCCUCUCUUCGAUUUUUGAGAAAGUAAUCAUGUUGGGAGUCUGGCUCUCGAGAUUCGGAGGGCGGUGCCUCUUCGAUUUUGGAGCAAGCAAUCUUGUUGGGAGUGUUUUCUCGAAUGUGAGUAAAGGUUGGGCAUGUUUGCUAGUCUACCUUGCCACGAAGCACAGAGGUUGACACACAGGGACUUUCCAAUUAUCCAGCAGUGGUACUGUUCCUUUACCCUCUCUUCGAUUUUUGAGAAAGUAAUCAUGUUGGGAGUCUGGCUCUCGAGAUUCGGAGGGCGGUGCCUCUUCGAUUUUGGAGCAAGCAAUCUUGUUGGGAGUGUUUUCUCGAAUGUGAGUAAAGGUUGGGCAUGUUUGCUAGUCUACCUUGCCACGAAGCACAGAGGUUGACACACCGGGACUUUCCAAUUAUCCAGCAGUGGUACUGUUCCUUUACCCUUGUGGGUAAUAAUAUGGUAGCUAGACCUUCAAAAUUUAUGUGUCUAAACUUUGUUAGUGUUGUUUCUUUGCUAAUUCUUUUACCCUUCUUGGUCAGAGCGAUGUAGUGGGAGCUGCAAGCUUCACGUGUCUCAACUUUGUCAGAGAACUUUCAGAGAACUUUGGCAAAGUUAUAUGUGGUGGUACCCAUGAGCUACUGUUGCGUGUGGGAAGUGGGUGAUUGAACAGUACGAUUCAUGUGCUUUCUACUUCGCCAGAAAUCUUCGACAGAAUGCCCAUAAUUUCCGCAAAGCUGAGUGUGCGUGUGACAGGUGCUGACAAGGCUGGAAAAGUAGGUGCCUCUUCGAUUUCUGAGAUCGGCCCUCGUGGUCUCUGAGCAGCCCAGCUUUUGAGAAAGCAAGCCUCUUCGAUUUCUGAGAUCGGCCUUCGUGGUCUUUGAGCAGCCCAGCUUUUGAGAAAGCAAACGCCUCUUCGAUUUCUGAGAUCGACCCUCGUGGUCUCUGAGCAGCCCAGCUUUUGAGAAAGCAAACGCCUCUUCGAUUUCUGAGCAGGCGCCUCUUCGAUUUCUGAAGCUUCCGUCGAGUGCAGAUUUUUAUAGGGGCUGACAUUAAGUUCCAAAGCACACUUGAAUAUCCACCAGUAGAAGCUCCAUUCUUGCACUUCUAAGAUCUUGAUUUGUCCGACCUCUUCUCUCUCUUCAACACCUUUGAAAAUGUCUGGCCCCUCCGACCGUCGUUUUGACUUGAACCUUGUUGAAGAGGCAGCCCCGCCUUCUCCAGACAACAUAUGGCGCCCAUCCUUCGUCUCCCCUACUGGUCCUCUUACCGUUGGGGAUUCCGUGAUGAAGAAUGAUAUGACCGCUGCGGUAGGUGGCCAGGAACCUUCUCACUCCCAAAGAUAACAGACUACUUUCCAAACGGUCUGAUGAGUUGGCUGUUAAGGAUUCUCUGGCUCUCAGUGUUCAGUGUGCAGGUUCUGUGUCUAAUAUGGCCCAACGCCUAUUUGCUCGAACCCGCCAAGUUGAAUCAUUGGCGGCUGAAGUGAUGAGUCUCAAACAGGAGAUUAGAGGGCUCAAGCAUGAGAAUAAAACAGUUGCACCGGCUCGCACAUGACUAUGCUACAAACAUGAAGAGGAAGCUUGACCAGAUGAAGGAAUCUGAUGGUCAGGUUUUACUUGAUCAUCAGAGAUUUGUGGGUUUGUUCCAAAGGCAUUUAUUGCCUUCGUCUUCUGGGGCUGUACCGCGUAAUGAAGCUCCAAAUGAUCAACCUCUGAUGCCUCCUCCUUCUAGGGUUCUGUCCAGUACUGAGGCUCCGAAUGAUCCCCCUCCGGUGCCUUCUCUUUCUGGGGCUCUACCGACUGCUGAGACUUCUCCUAAGCAACCUUUGUGAAGGCUCCCUCUUGUUUGUUUAUUUUGACUCAAGUAUAUGUACAUAUUUGUAACUUAUCGGGGAUAUCAAUAAAUAAGCUUUCCUUCAUUUCAACGUAUUGUGUUAAAUACACCAAAGCCUUCUUCGCUAAGUUCUUUGAAUUUUCUUUUGUUGAAGCUUGUAUGUUGAAGCUUUGUGAGUGGAGCAUGUAGGUUGAGGUAGUGUUCCCUUAAUUUCCCGAGUGAGGAAAACUUCUCGGUUGGAGACUUGGAAAAUCCAAGUCACUGAGUGGGAUCGGCUAUAUGAAUCUUAGAACGCCAUUGUGUUCUGUCCUGUGUCAUGUCCUCCGUUAGAUCCAAGUACUCUAAGUCUUUUCUUAGGGUCUCUUCCAAAGUUUUCCUAGGUCUUCCUCUACCCCUUCGGCCCUGAACCUCUCUGUCCCAUAGUCGCAUCUUCUAAUCGGAGCGUCAGUAGGCCUUCUUUGCACAUGUCCAAACCACCGUAACCGAUUUUCUCUCAUCUUUCCUUCAAUUUCGGCUACUCCUACUUUACCCCGGAAUAUCCUCAUUCCUAAUCUUAUCCUUUCUCGUGUGCCCACACAUCCAACGAAGCAUCCUCAUCUCCGCUACACCCAUUUUGUGUACGUGUUGAUGCUUCACCGCCCAACAUUCUGUGCCAUACAGCAUCGCCGGCCUUAUUGCCGUCCUAUAAAAUUUUCCCUUGAGCUUCAGUGGCAUACGGCGGUCACACAACACGCCGGAUGCACUCUUCCACUUCAUCCAUCCAGCUUGUAUUCUAUGGUUGAGAUCUCCAUCUAAUUCUCCGUUCUUUUGCAAGAUAGAUCCUAGGUAACGAAAACGGUCGCUCUUUGGUAUUUCUUGAUCUCCGAUCCUCACCCCUAACUCGUUUUGGCCUCCAUUUGCACUGAACUUGCACUCCAUAUAUUCUGUCUUUGAUCGGCUUAGGCGAAGACCUUUAGAUUCCAACACUUCUCUCCAAAGGUUAAGCUUUGCAUUUACCCCUUCCUGAGUUUCAUCUAUCAACACUAUAUCGUCUGCGAAAAGCAUACACCAAGGAAUAUCAUCUUGAAUAUGUCCUGUUAACUCAUCCAUUACCAACGCAAAAAGGUAAGGACUUAAGGAUGAGCCUUGAUGUAAUCCUACAGUUAUGGGAAAGCUUUCGGUUUGUCCUUCAUGAGUUCUUACGGCAGUCUUUGCUCCUUCAUACAUAUCCUUGUAUAGCUUGGAUAUAUGCUACUCGUACUCCUUUCUUCUCUAAAAUCCUCCAAAGAAUGUCUCUUGGGACCCUAUCAUACGCUUUUUCCAAAUCUAUAAAGACCAUGUGUAAAUCCUUUUUCCCAUCUCUAUAUCUUUCCAUCAAUCUUCGUAAGAGAUAGAUUGCCUCCAUGGUUGAGCGCCCUGGCAUGAACCCGAAUUGGUUGUCCGAAACCCGUGUGUCUCUUGCCUCAAUCUAUGCUCAAUGACUCUCUCCCAGAGCUUUCAUUGUAUGACUCAUUAGCUUAAUACCCCUAUAGUUCAUGCAAUUUUGUACAUCGCCCUUAUUCUUGUAGAUAGGCACCAAAGUGCUCGUUCGCCACUCAUUUGGCAUCUUCUUCGUUUUCAAAAUCCUAUUGAAAAGGUCAGUGAGCCAUGUUAUACCUGUCUCUCCCAAAACUUUCCACACUUCGAUUGGUAUAUCGUCUGGGCCUACUGCUUUUCUAUGCUUCAUCUUCUUCAAAGCUACAACCACUUCUUCCUUCCGGAUUCUACGAUAAAAAAGAGUAGUUUCUACACUCUUCUGAGUUACUCAACUCCCCUAAAGAAGCACUCAUUUCAUGUCCUUCAUUGAAAAGAUUAUGAAAAAUAACCUUUCCAUCUGUCUUUAACCGCGUUCUCUGUAGCAAGAACCUUUCCAUCCUCAUCCUUGAUGCACCUCACUUGGUUUAGGUCGCUUGUCUUCUUUUCCCUUGCUCUAGCUAGUUUAUAGAUAUCCAACUCUCCUUCUUUGGUAUCUAGUCGCUUAUACAUAUCGUCAUAAGCCGCUAACUUAGCUUCUCUCACAGCUUUCUUCGCCUCUUGCUUCGCUUUUCUAUACCUUUCACCAUUUUCAUCGGUCCUAUCCUUGUAUAAGGCUUUACAACAUUCCUUCUUAGCCUUCACCUUUGUUUGUACCUCCUCAUUCCACCAAAAAGUAAAUCGAGUAAGGGUUAUAAAGAGGGCAAGGGGUCUAUGUUUUUGUUCCUUCUCAAUCAACCCUGUUUGGUAUCCAACUUUUGUGUUUUUGAAACCCAUAUAUACUAAGUUGCUUUCACCGGUUUUGAAAACUACAGAUUUUUUUUCAAACUGAAUGUUAAACAACCCUCAAUAUUUGUUGGAUGGAUUUAAACAAAGUUUCAACCUAAAGAUACAGUGAAACAACGAAUUCCCGAACAAAAAUGAUUACAGGGGAACAAGCCUAAAUAGACACAGUCCCGUUACUCCGUUGACCCGACUUUAUCUUCGUCUGCCUCAAAGGCCUUCCUCAUUUUCUCUUCAUCAGUCUCGAAAGCCUUCCUCAGCUUUUCCUCAUCUGUCUCAAAAGCUCUCCUUGCCUGUUUCAGCUCCUCAUUCAUUGACAGCAAUUCUCUACAGCGAUUGAGUUUCGGAAAAUCCUGGGGAGUUUACCACAUUUACAUCAGUGUUUAUGUCAGAUUCUUUUUACGCUAUUAACACAAAACUGACAAAAAAAAUUAAAAGUGGACAAAAUUAACAUAAAUUGAUGAUCAGUAAGUGACACCAUAACUCUGUCAAAUAACGUAAACGUAGUCAUGUUCAGCCAUCAAUAUUAUAAAGAGGUCCUGUUAGUAUCAUCCUAUCCAUUCAAUGAGUGGUUUGUGUUUCUCUUAUGCUAAAAUGACAAAAUACAAUGCCAUGUUCACGUCUUCCUGUUUAUUUUUCUCCUAUCGUGCUAAUCAAAAGCACAACAAAUUGCAAAGACCUACAUAAAGUAUCUCUGCCUAGUGAUAUAAAAUUAUUGACCAAUCGAUCACAAGUAACUCGAUUUUAUGCCCGUAACAUGAAAUUCCAAAUGGCAUAAACCUAUUGCACACAAUCAAAGUAUGCAGUGGAAAUAUAUACAGAAGAUACCUUGCGAAUUAAGUACAGAAAAUCAUCAACUGAUAACCUUCCCCUCUUUGAUCCAAUCUCCUGGGCUUUAUGCACCUGCAGUAGUGUUGCAUAUUUGGGUUUAAUACUUACCAUACUAUCUCAUUUGCAUGAUGAAUAGUAACUACCCUUGAGAAAAGCUUACCAGAUCAGUCACAUAUUCCACAACGAUGUCUUCCAUGAGUGCCACACUCUCUGGAAGAGGCUGAAAGCAACAGAAUCGGUUAAGUCAAUUUUAUUUGCAACAGAAAGCAAAGAAUAAAAGAACCGCAGGUUAAGCUCCAACCGAACCACAACAACAAGUGGUAUAUCCCAAUAUCCAAAUACCCGUCAUCCAUGUAAAUAUCACAUCACAGCCCGAGAAAAGACUCCAAGUCCCAAAUUAGAUGGUGCUACUUACAUUAGGAUCGUCUCCAAAACCAUACAUCAUGUGCUGCACUAUAACAUCCACAACACAUUGUGUGUCAACAUUUUGAAUAAAACCCAUAAACACUUGCAGAGUAGUUUGCUAAACAUAAAAAUUAUUACUGUAGACAUACAUUCUUUUUGAAAGACUCCGCGUUUUCGCUUAUUUGAACUUUCAGAUGGCUGGGAGCCACCCGCUUUUGAUUUUGAUGUCGUCCCUCCAGAAGGGUUACUCAUCUUCUAUGCAAACCUGCCCCGGAAAUCACUAACAUCGCAGAACAGAGCUAUUACUGAAUCGAAUUCUUCAAUUUAAUAAUAUGGAGAAUGAUAAAAUUGAAGAUGCGGGCAAAGAGGAUAACAGCAACAAAGAACUAUAUCGACCCAGAUUUCAAACCAGAUCAAUUGAAAAAAACAAGAAUCUUCAUAAUUCAAAUAAGUGAAACCCUAGGCACUGCUUGGUUGGAACGAAGAAGGGGGCAAAAUGAGAUUCAAAAAGAAAAUUUUACCUGUUGAGAUCUUCAAAACCCUAAAGUUGGAUUGCGAGAGGAGCAGAGAGAGACGUUGGAUCAAAGAGUGAGAAAGGCGCCUAUCAAUUUAUAUCGAAAUGCCCGAUUUUAUAUCAAGAGUUCUACUUUCUAAGACCCCGCAAGGCCUCUAAGCUAGCUUUUGUAUAGUCAAUAGAAAGUUCUAAUGAACUAGGAUAAAGGAAACCAAAUUCUUAUUGAAUAAUGAAACAUAAAAUUACUUUUGACAAAGAAAAAAAAAUGGAAGAUGGUAUUGUGAACUGCGCAAUGUUACUAUUCUGUCAGACUUGAAUUUGCAGAAAAACUUCCGGGAACAAUUUGCACCAACCCGCCGCGACUAAAACCGAAAAGCAAGCUCAAAAUCGUAAAGCAAGCUCAAAAUUGAGGGCAAUUUUAUGCAACAUAUAAGAAUCCAAUAUCAUUGAGGGCAUAAGUUGGAAGAGAAGAAAAGAAACGAAGAGGGGUUGAUGCAGGCAGUAAAAAAAGCACGAGAGAAAGGAUACCCAAAACCCAUGACAAAUCAUACUCAAAAUUAGUGUAUUGAAAACCCUAAAUUCAAAACAUUUCUCUAGUUUUCCGUAUUUUCUCAUCAAACAAACAAAAAAACAAUUCGUAUAAAAUCAGAAAAGAGAAAUUACCAGCAGUAGCGUGCUCCGUGGCUCGUAUGCGGCGUUCCUCCGCCCGCAACGGCGCCGAGGUUGCUUUCGGCGGCGAUGAGAGGCGGACACGGGAUCAAUAGUCGGGUUCUGAGAGGAUCAGCUGUUCCCAAUUCGCAGCAGAAAUCGCCGGCGAAAGAGUGAGAGAAUAGAGAGACGGAGUGCGUGAGGAGAAUCCAGAGACCGAAAGAAGAGAGAAGAACAAGUUUGGCUAUGGUGUGGACAAGUCCAUAGAAUGUUGUAUAAGCUCUCCAAAAAACCAAUAGAAUGCUGACAUGUGGUUUUUUCAGAAAGGUACGAUUUGCAAAUAAAGAAACUGAAACCGUUAGUUUAGGGUGCGUUUGGUACGUGGGACGGGACGGGACGGAACGGGACGAGGCGUUCCGUCCCGCGUUUGGUGCGCCAAAAAUGGGUGGAACGGGCUGUUCCACGGGACAGAUUUUUGGUGUUUUUGCGUUCCACCUCCCCCCCUGGAACGGGUUUGUUCCACGUCUGUGGAACACAAUGUUUUACCAUUUUAAGACAAAUAUACCCCAUGUCUUUUUCAAAAAUUACACCUUCGUUCCGUCCCGUCCCGUUUCGUUCCGUCCCGUCCCGUCUGCGUACCAAACGAGAACGGUACGGUUUUGUUCUGAAAUCGAAAAAAACUGAACCGUUUGAUACGUUACGGUUUUGAUUUUUCAGUUUCUUUGCGCACCCCUAGUUUUUCUUUUCUUUUCAAACCAUAGAAAUUUUGAUUAAAUUCGAAUCGAAAUGUUUACAUCAGAUGUUAGAGUGUUGAACAACCGUUCCGGUUCAAAUUUAUUCCAACUAUGAAAAUCACCUUCCUUAAACACAAAAUAUGUCACUAAAUGCGCUGCCCUAUUACAAACAUAGAAAGUAAAACGAAAUUAUAGUGAUCUCAGUUGUUGUUGUAAUUGUCUUAAUAUCAAAUAGGAUACCUUCACUCAUUACCUUCGGUUGCAAAGUACCAUUAAUCAUCUCUAUAAGAUUCAGAUUCGACAUGCACAUCCAAAAAACCGUUCCCCAUAGAAGCUACAAGGGCCGUCCUGACUGCAUUUGCUUCCGCUAUGAAACAAGAUGCGCAAGGGUAAUUUCCGAUCCCAGCAGUUGCACGGAAUAUUCCGGCAAAGUUCCUUGCGACCCACCCAAAACAACCUUUUUCAUUCCUCCAUGCACCAUCACAAUUCAUCUUAACAAUACGGAAAGGAGGGCGCUCCCACGAGGACUCCGCAGCAGCCGUGGGAGUGGUCACAGGCCGCCGCAGCUCGUCAACCCUUGCGCACCCCUAGUCAAUCAUCUGUAUUUUCUCUUAAGUUGAGCCACUUUUUCACGAGUAUUUGUCAAUAAUAACCAAAAUUUAACACAUAUAUUCAUAAAUGUCAUUUUUUAUAAAAUAUUUCAAAUAUAGCAUAAAUACCACUUAAAAAAAACUAAAUACCUUGAAAAUUAAAAUCAAAUAAACAUAAGAAACAAAACCCUAUUAGAAGUUCAAUUGUUCCAAAGAAAUCCAAAACUAAAAUUGAAUUUCCAACAUGAUCAGAAUAACAGACUUGUAUAAUGAAAAGUGUGAUCGAUUCAUGGCAUCCAUUCGCUUUGGGUAUAAGAAUUGGGACGAGUUGAGAUCAACAAUUUAGAACUUACAAAUUGGUGUUGUAGAUUAAUUAGAUUGGCGGGGAAGAUAAGAAAGAAUAAAGUUGGAAUGAUCCUCUUGUGAAUUAGAUUGGAAUUUGAUUCCAAUGAGUUAGAAGCCUCAACCAGUAUCAUGUCUGCUAAAUUGAUUGUACAAAACAUACUCUUUUAAGACGAUCUUGUAUCAACGGUAACGAUUGAGUUUUAGACAUGAGUGACAAAAUUUCAAGUCCGUACUCCAUUAGAUGAUUGUUGAACAACACUCGCAAUUGCUCUACAACAUUUAUCAACUCAUCUUGCGGUCUCGCACUUUGAACAAUGAUGUAGAGGAGAUCUAUUCAAGGGUUUUGGCUUUUUGUAUAAUUAGGCAAAACUUCCAUUUUGUCCAACAUCAUUACCUUUUUAUUUAUUUAUUUUUCCAUGAAGUGUUUUCAACUUUUUGAUAUGAUGUUUUCAGUUUAAGGUCACGUUUGGCACACCUUAUAAGGCUUCGAAUUGGAAUAUAUAAUACGAAUACGGUGUUUGGCGAAUAACACACCUUAUAAGGCUUCGAAUGGGAAUAUAUAAUACGAAUACGGUGUUUGGCGAACUUAUGUAUUCGUACUGAGCUUGGCUCGUCUAAAUAUGUUGCUAAAUAAGAUUAUAUUUAAUUUAAGCAAAUCAUUUCCACGCCCCGAAAUCAACGGACUGAAGUGAUACAUGACCAAGGUACAAAUCCUUUAAAUGUUGCUUGCACAAACCAAUUCUCCUUCUAUUCAAGCUGGGAUGAAUGCAACUUGAGAACCCUGUCUUCCACCCCGGAAACUUCUGCCUUUCCAUCACAUGAAGUGUAUAAACACUCGGCGCCGAAGCCAUACACCCGAACACAAAACAAUUGCAGGGCCGUGACUCGCUCACCAUUCUUGCAAGGGAGAGUACACACAAGCCACUGUAAGAAAUUCCAUACAUUAAUGCCUCAUCGUUUUCAAACGCCUGAGUAUCUGAUGUCUCAUCAACCAUCUCUUGUUCUAUUUCUUGGGUAGACGGAAUCCUGCUUAGUUCUGUGUCAAAACGUCUUUCUAUCUCAUUUUCAUGCACACGAUACUUCGCUGCAAGAGUUCGGAUGCAAGAUUUUCUAACUAGAUCCGAAAUCAACAGCUUUACCUCCUUAAAGUUUACACACUCGGCAUACCAUCUCAGCCAACGGCGAACAAUGCCUGAAAACCAGUCGAUGAUUUGGUCAUUAUCUUGUAAAACAAGCAAAGAGGAUGUACGGGGAUAACCAUCAGAUGUGGUCAAUCCAUAUCGUUGGAGACGCUUUUUAACGGCAUUAACAGGAGCAAUUAUCUCAGUGAUGACAACAGAUUCAGCGGAAGAACCGGCAUUUGGCAAAAGGGCAAGAAUAGAAGAGGUCUCAGAAGAAACAUACUUUUCCACCUGUCUCUGAAAUUCGUAAAAGGAGUUUGUUAGCUCUUCUGGUAGAGCUGGUUCUGCUACAUGCUUAGACAGGACAGCUUCCUCACUCUCUUCUGCUUUGGCAUUGACGUCUUGCAUCCAUAUCUUCAACAAGUGCUUGUACCAAUGAUCAGUUUCCAUACCAAACUUACGGAAAUGGGAAAUUUGGUUCAGAACAGAACUACUGUCAGCUAAAUGCUUGAUCUCUGACUCCUUGACCUUCUUCAAACCAUGACCUAACCAUUUCUUCCCUAUAUGAACCGUCCCAACAUUCCAGGCCUCUUGCUUCUGUAGACCAAACAAAGCUACUUUUUCCUUCAACUUGUGGACUGCUUUUGUGGCAGGACUUUCUAUCACGUUUCUUCUAACCAAAGUGCCUAAAAAGCGAAUCCCAUGCGGUUUUUGACAUGGCAAUAAUUCUGUUUGAUCAUCGACUUCCAAGUGCAAAGACUUCUGCAAGUAGUUUAGGACCUCAGAUUUGAACUCAAGAGCAGCAUCCUUAGAACCAGAAACGAAAAAAAUAUCUCAUCCAUGAAGCGACAAGAAUGGACCCUUGCGCUACAACUCUCUUCACCCGCACAGCCAAGAUCAUUAUUACCUUUCAGGUGUCUCCUAAACCAGCUGCGCAGCUUAGACUGGGAAUUUUGAUCAUUUUGAGAAUCUAGACUGAGAGCUUCAUAUUUCAUCGACAAUCUGUAAAAUUCACGGUCAAAUUGGUCGAGAUAUAUAUUCAUUAAUAUAGGGGACAAUAUUCCCUCCUGUGGAAGACCAUGACCUUUCGGGAAACCACCAAACUCCAAGUUGAGCACAUUGGCAUGAAACAUGCUUUUGAUCAUAUCAAAGAGGCUGGGGUCUACUAUCUUGCCCUCCAUUGCUUUUAAGAGUUCGCCAAGUAUACAAGCAUCUAGCUUUUUAUUUAAGAGCACUGUAAACCACCAAUCAGGAUUCGAAAUCUCCUUGCUAAUGUACUUCAGAGCCGUGGAAUGCCCCCUCCCACUUCGAUAACCAUGUGAAAUCUUAGAGAAGUCGGGCUUGUAAACAACUUCAAGAACAACUCUGAUGGCUUCUUGAAUGACCUUCAGAUUUAGAUUAGGAAGUACUAAGACUUCAUUCCCUACACCCCUUUUUGAGAUAGAAAAGGUAUUGGCAUUAGCAUCAAAACUCCCAUGACGCAUCUCUUCAGCCAUAGAAUCAAAAGAGUUUUUCGCAUCACUUAAUGCUAUAUCAACAUUUGAGUUGAGUCUAAUACAAUCAUAAGCAUCUUGAAGAGUUUCUGGAUUGGCAAUUACUUUUACCAUUAGGUCUCGAAACUUCCCAUUGAUGUAUUGUUCCUUCACUCUCUUCUUUAUGCGCAAUUCAAGACACCUCUUGAGUUGCAUUCGGCCCUUGGGUCUUCUCUCAUUGAUAUGAGAGGACUCCUCUACCAGACAGGCUAAAUUCUCUGCCAAUUUCAUUUUACGAAUGCCACUAUUGACACCAUCAGCGGCAGCACUGGCAACAGCACAAUGAUCUGCAGAUUCUUGUACUCUUUCCGAAGCUCUAUCAUAACCAGCUGCGGCAGCGGUAGUAACCUUUUCUGUGUUUGAACGAGUGCCCGACUCCACAACCACCUUUUGUACCUUAUCGCAGAGGCCAGCAGUGAGAGUGGCAGCUUUUCUGGCAACAGCAAGCCUUUUUUCAAAAGACAUAGAAGAAAAUGUUGCUUGUGCUACUCCUGCUGCUUGCGAGGCAGAGCCGUUUCAGAGAUUUACGAGGCCCUCUGCAAAAACAAAACAUAGGGAGGGUAUUCAGUUACAGUGAGAAGGAUGGGCAAUUGCGAUAGUAUGUUGAACAUUUUGUGGAAGAUGUGGCGUGCAUUGGGCUAUAGGGAGAAGCACAAUGUGCAGCAGUGCAGGUGCAUAUGCAUAUGAAGCAUUUCGUCGAACAUUUGGCGUGCAUCGAAGGACAUUGACAUUAUCAAACUUUAAGCAUGAACUAACCUUGGGAAGUAUCUUGGAGCAGCUUCGAAGAUACUUCAUCCAAGCAAUAAGAUUAGCAGCUGCUCCGGCAGAGAGAGAGAGAAAGAGAGAGAGAGAGGAGGAGGAGGAGGAGACGGAGGAUGAUUGGUUGGUCGCCGGUGGUGGGAAGGGUGGGUGUUUUUCACAGUUAAUGAGUUGUGUUUCCCUAAGAAAUGUAAAAAUUGGCUCCUUUCAUCGUUAAAAAUGAAUGCGAUCGUAACCGUUUAUAAUUGUUCAUAUUUUAAAUUAUUUUGUAAUAGUAAAUAUAUAAUCGGUUUAUAAUUCUUUAAUUAUAAUCAUUUUUUUUAAAUAAUUCAAUAAUUAAGUCAUCUUAUUUUAAAUUGAUUUGUAAAAUUGACUUUUACAUGGUAAUUAAUAAUAUAAACCGUUUUGAUUAUACGCCCGAACUUCCAUAAAUAAAUAACAAAGCAUCUGAAGCAGGAAUUCGUUCUCAUCUAUUGAGAAGUCAAGUUAAUUCCUUAAUUGAAAUAGUUCCUGCAAGACUUUUUAUUAUAUUAUUAUUACAAAUGAUAUGCAACACUAACCUACAUGAGAAAAUAAUAUUUGAGCCCAAAAUGUUACGUAUUAAAAGAUAAAAAAUCUAACCGCCAAGACAAUCCAUCACUUACACUUGUUUUAAAAAAUUAAUUAUUACUUUUAUUUUUCUUUUUAAUCAAUUUCAUAUUGUUUUUCUUUUUGAAAUUACACCACCCAAUAGCCCGAUCACUAUUGCCCGUGAAGUGAUUUCCAAAUCCAUGGACUCCUCCCCAAACCUUUGAAGUCCCUAAGGCUAUAGCUAGAGCCAAACCGGCCUUGCCCGAGUUGGUUCGGUUUCUUUAUCAUCAUUGUCAAUGUCGAGAACCGAACCAAUUGUAUCAUCCGGUUCAGUUCGGGUCAAAGUGGAUAGUGCCCACCUCUACUUGCUAACUAUUGAGCAUGUGCACAAUUUAGGUUGGCUGCUAUCGAACACUGAGACUCAUGCUGCCUUUCCAGUAUUUAGCAGAAAGCAACUGAAUAUUUUGAGGAUUUCCGGUGUUGGGCUACAUAACCGUUGUACAGUUUCCGGCUAUUGCGAAAAACCGGGACUGAAGCGGAACCUAAAUCUUGUGAAUAUAAGAUGUACAUACCUCAUUAUAUCUUGUGAUACAAACCAUACAAACAGACCUCAAAACCUACAUCUUCUGAAGUGCUUUUUACAGGACAUCAUAUCCAUACCGAAAAUGUUGGUGCUUUCAGGGAUAGGCGUGUAUACCACCAACAUAUGUUGCUUCAACUAAUGCAGAUUAUUCAGCCACGACAUCAUCCCACGAAUCCAUGGACAGUAUGACAAAGUCUGCCAGUUUGCCGGGGCGAUAGAGAUCCCAAAUCACUGUCAAGAAAGCAUGCGCGAGCAGCUGAAAGAGCACCUGUCAUGAUUGUGAAUGUAUCAUGUGGAACUGUAAGAGAGAUGAAACACGAAACCGUGUUAAUCAGUCGGGUAACUUGAUGCAUUCUGGGGUGACUUUGGACUGGGACACCAGUAAGGAAGACGCGAAUAGCCUAAGUAGCAGUCUAAAGACGAAUUAUGUCAACGAAUACAUGAAAUCUCAAGGAUCAAAUGAUUCGGCGUUCCCUACCCCUUCAAUGCCUCGUUCAAAGAAAGUUUUUCUGUGGGAAUCCAAGCGGUAUCCCAACCAUGGGGAAUCCUUUUCAUUGCUGUCUUAAUACCACCUAAAGAUUAAUAUCCGAGACCUGCGAGAACAGCACCAAUCUAAAAUUAUAAUGUUAAACACUAAAUAAAAAGUACAACGGUGAGCCACGUGCAUGAUUAUGAGUGAAUAUAUCUACGAGAGUCGUUAUAUUUAUACUUACUGGAAAUAGGAACCAAGAUUGUCCAUUUCCAUGUCCACUCAAGACAUACCUUUCGAAAAACAAAUAUUUUGAGUAGGUUCUUUUUUAAACCACAAAAGCCGGGCAAUCCAUGUAUGCAAGAAUAAAAGACUUCAUCCCUAUGCAGAAAGCGAUGCAAAUCGUGUAAUCAAACCUGUACUGAAGCAACAGUCCCAAGUACCCCAAAUCGAGAUUAUGGAGUUCAUUUGUGAGGUAGCAGCCACCACUCGAACUGGAAGGUUCUUCUUGACGGAUGAGAUUCUUCUCUGUAUCUUCAUAGCCAAAGAAAUUUGGUGAAUAUAUUACGUUUGUUUAUUGCAAUGUUUGAGAGUCAGUUUCGAGUAUUUGUGUCCUUUUGUCACACAUUUGAUCCUCCAAAGGUUUUCAAAGUGAAAUCACUUGUUUGCUUGGCAAAGAUACUUAAAUUCUUUAGGUUUAAUUAUACGUACAUGUCAAUGUCGAAGGAGCUUCAAUUGAGAGAUUCCUCAAAUAAGACUCACUCCACAAGUACAUACACGAUAGCAACCGUGUAGUAUUUUUGUAUUUAAAUGAACAAUUUUUAAUAGAUGGCUGGGAUUAAUGACAUAAAUCCAGAAGAUGCAAAAGUUAUAAAUAGCUUAAGUUACUUAUCAGCCAAACAAUUCAAGUUAAAGAUGGCAAGGACAGAAUAGUACGGACGAGAGAGAGAGAGAGAGAGAGAGAGAGAGAGAGUACAUAGCAUAGAAGCAAAAGAUGGGAAAAUAUAUCGACUUUAUUAAACUUGAAUCAUGGUUUAUACAUGAAAAACAAUCAAUAAGAACAACUUAUAUGAUCUUUGCCUAUGAACAAGCCUCAAAUCUUUUCUUACACUCCGAACUCUAAAUCAUCUUCACAAAUAAAUCUAGAUGCUGUGAAUUAGUUCAUCUACUUCUUGAAACCACUAUGCUAACUCCUCCGCAACCGUUUUCUUUGACUACCCUCUUGCCUGCAUUUAGCAUGCACUAUAGGACCCAACUUUGACCUAUCCAUGCCUUCUGUUGAUCCCUCAGGCGCAUUCAAGUACACAGCAUCUUUAUACAUCCACUCCUCUCUCUCAUGACUAUAAAAAUCAUCAAAGCACUCUCUACAUAACACGCACGAAGUCUGAUCUUCUUCAGCAGGAAUAGCCACUUCUUCAUCACUAUUCUUCUUUUCCACAGUGGUCUCAGCAGACAUAAAUUUAGGAGCUGCAUUAGUACACAAUGCCUCUGCAGCAAUAAACCACAAGCUCAUAUUCACAAACCAUUUACGAGAGGGCUUCAGCUUACGGCUUUUAGACAUACAGUUCUUGGUUACAUGCCAAUCCAUAUGCUUACUAUGCUCUUCUUGGCACUUGAACCUACGGCCACAGGUUGUGCAUUGUCCUGGAAGAUCACCGUAUAGAGCAGUUAUUACAGAUUCAUGCCGCACCUUGAGAGGGUAGGCCUUAAACUCAACUCCUAAAGAAACCUGGGGAGGGGUUUGAUUUGUCACUGAGAUCAAACCUUGGGCCAAGAGCGAAGUAAUCAAACCAGAAUAUGCACUGAUGCCGGGCUGGUUGCUAGAGGCAACUGGAUAAGGGUUCUGAACCGGAAGUAUGUCUUGUGGGUAAGGAGGGGGACCUGGUGGUAGAAGUGGCAUGGCUUGUUUUACAAUAAAAGGGCCUUGAUUCCUCUGGUUCUGCUGCAUAGAUAACGUUGAGUGCACAGUGGGAGCAGGAGGGCUAGAAUUAUGCAUGUUUACAUGAGGCCUUGAAUCCACAGAUGGCACCGGCAUGAGAGAUUGAGAGUCUACACUAGAAGUAGAAGACGGCACUGAUAUACGAGUCACCACAAAGGGCAUCUGGAAAGGCAUAAUCGGGCAGGCUUGCUGAGGAGGGUAGUGAGAACCCAAAUUACGAUUUGCCUCAGAUUGGAAUUGAGCAACCCUACUACCGUCUUUUCCAUAUGCGCCCCUAGGUCUCUGAUGUUCAAGUCCUCCAUUACUGCGGUUAUUAUGACAUGCAGGUGCAACACAAGUAGUAGUGUCAAACCCUAACCCUAGCCCUGGCCCUUUAUGACUACCAUCAAAAUAGCGUUUUCUAAGGCAAUCAUAAUUGGGUCCCUCAUCUCCGACCAAUUGCUCCUCCAUUAAGUCUACAAUCAAACACAAAUCCAGACGGAGACGGGGAUGCCCUAACAGAUAACAUAUCUGAAAUCGAAACCGAUACCUAAAUUGAAAUCUCGCAGUUGUAGUUUACUCAGUUAUCUGUUUUGGGUCACAGAAAGAGAAAGCAAUAGGCAGCAAUUUUACUUUCCAAAAAUGUGAGCAAUAUAUCGUAACAAUCAAUUCCCAAUUCUAAUAGGAAACCUAACUCUACUGGGAACAACAGGAAAUCCCAAAUCAACUAGGAAUAACAGGAAAUCCCAAAUCAACUAGGAAAAUCCAACCAAACCCUAAAAGAAAUCGCAAAAUUAUAUAAUUGAAGUAUAACAAACAAAAAACGAAAUCCAGAAGCUUUGAAUAAAGAAUUCAAAAUUUAGAACGUAUCUUUGAUCGCCGACGGUUGUGGUGGGUUUUGAUGAAAUCGCCGGCCGUCUCUCACGGCACGGAAUGGGCAGCCACGGCGGCGGCAAGAUAAGCGAGAACCAGGGGCCGGAAUCGAAGACGACGACGUCGUUUGUAGAGAGCACAAGGAAAGGGAAUCGACGGAAUGGAAGAAUGGAAGCGUAAGAACGUGGAAGAAGACUGACGAGAGCAAUUGAUAUAUAAUGCGCGCCUUCCUUCUUUCACCCAAAAAAAAUGUACGCGCUUUUUCUACAACGGUAACUUGAAAAAAAAAAAAAAAAAUUUCAAAUUUCAAACUGUUUUGUUUAUUGGCAGGUUAGAUAAGGACUCCCGGACCACAAAGAUGUUAAUAAGCUGAAUUGGCUUUGCAUUCAGUAGUUGCACAAUAGACGAUCGUCAAGACCCGAAAUUUAACCUAUUUCAAUUUGAUUGGCCAUAAAUUUAAACGAAAUCAAGAUUGAGAGGCAAUUUUAAAGAGAAAUCAUCUUAAAGGAUUACAGAUGCGGUGCCGCCCUAGUUAGAUUCAUUCUCUACUUAUCUCCCACAUUGGGGACAGAUCUAGCAUUCAAAACCCGGGUGAGCUGAAAUUUGAAGGUAUACGUGUAAUUAGAUGUUUUAGUUGGGCAACUAUUUAGUACUACGAGUCUAGUGGUAUUUCUCUUCACAGUGAGAGGUCUUAGGUUCGAUUCUCACCAAAGGAAAAUUUGAACCACAUUAUUGCCAGCCUAAUGUGAGGCUUAGCCCACUCCUCUCCCAAUAGUAUAGAUAAUAUCGUAUGUUCCAAAAAAAAAAAAAAAAGAUGUUUUAGUUGGGCUGAUGGGGCUAUUAUAUAAUUAUUAGCUGGAGAGUCGAAUUAUCAGUUGGGACCAUAGAAAAUGAAUAUGCUAAUAGAAGUUAUAGAUUCGAUCAAGAGGAAAAAACCAUAUCCCAUGUCUUGAACAUGAUCAUGCAACAAGCCCUUUAAGGGGAUCAGGCUAUAGCCCAACUGAGCCAGGGCUAGGCAUGUCCCUGCCGAUUGACAUCGCAUCUCUCCCAUCCAUUAUCUGCUCAUUGCUCACACCAUCAUCCAUCGCACCCACCCUAUGCUCAUCUCCCACAUUUAAACUAGUCCCGGCCUUUACCAAACGUGGGUUAUCGGUCUUAGCCAAGGUAGUCACACUUUACACGGUGUAACAAACGGAUCCCAAGAGUUUGCAUUAUCUUGGUUUUGGUUGUUCCUGCAUUAGACUUGGUAUUAUCAUGUAGUUCAAUUUCUUUGCAUUUUUCUGCAGUCCAUCUGGGUUUAGUCACUAUGGCCUUCAAUCAAUUGCAACAGAAGCACCCAUAGACAACUGAAGCUCGGGUUUCAUGGUCAUAAGCCACCAAGGCACGUUUAGAUACCUAGCGAGAGUAAGAUUUUCGACUUGAGAAAUGGCGAGUCCUUUUCUGAGAGAUGCCAUCAGUAAAUAUGCUAGCCAAAGAACGAGUAAUUUCUCAAACAUCAAACAGCGGUUGUAUAACGAACAUGAUCCACCACAAAAUUGAUAAAGGAAAUAUUGAUUAUUGAAUAAAAAUGAUUCAUAAUCAGCAUAUUACAAUCCAAGUUUUCCUUUAUAUUCUCCAACAAGCUAACAUAGAGAAGGAAAACAUCUUUAUUUCAUAGCCAUGUAAGUAGAUUGUCAAGCAUUCGGUACUUUAGUAUUGAAGUUGAGAUUUGUAGACAUCGAGGCCAGAGGUUGCUGGAGUUAUUGGGCACAGCCUGAUUGAGAAUGAAUACGGAACAGCAGGAAUCAGAUACUCCUUGUGGACGCAGGGGGACCAACUAUCAUCCCCAGCCAGGCCCAUGUGCUUGUGAUCAAGAUGAACCUGUAGCACCAUAGACCGUAAGCACCCUAAACCGUAAACCAUUCUUUGUAUAUACUCGUAUUAAAUACAAUGGACAUCUGAGACAAAUCGACUCGUACUGAAAUGAGAGGUACUAACUAAAAACGCAGAAGAAAUUACCUCAAUGUCAUCUCCUUUGACAAGGUUGUGAUUGUGCGUUGCACGGUCAAGCUCAGCUGUGGUGUAAUAACUUGCAUUUAUUUGCAUAGGUGGAGAGCUGCCAUAUAUUGAAGCAUAGAUUCCGAAACCAUCCUUGUUUUGAAAUGUCACCCAUCUAACAUCCGCCCUACCUGAACAUUCCCCAGGAACUAUGUAAGGGACAUGCAUAUCACCCACAUUCUGCUCGUAGACCGCAACAUGAGCAGCUGCUUUUCUGUCCGGAUAGCAUUCAAACGGUCCUCUUCCAUACCAUUUAAUCUGGUCCAUCGACUUAUCCAAAUGGAACUCAACUCCAACACGUGGCAGAGGUGGAAGGUUCGAACUUGGUCUUGUAUUGCAUUCAAUGACAACAUCUCCUGAACCGUAAAUUGUGUAAAUCACAUCAAUCUCAAUUAAUGCGCUUUCCUCCUUGGAUAAAGAACCCUCCUCACUUUUGGGAACACCAAGAAAAACCGCAGCUACUCUCACAAGAUGGUCAGUCUUAGUUUGUAUAGAACAGCUUUUGGUGAUAUAAUUGAGGCUAUCAAUACGAGCAGCUUUCCACAAGGAGAAAUAACUACUGUCACCUCCUCCUUUGUCAUUAUCUGUGGGUGCUCGCCAGAAACAUGGAAAUAUGCCUUUCGUCAUCAAAGAAACUCCUUCAACCUACCAUUUUUUAUUUUCAAAAAUAGGAUUCAGAAUGAGUGUUAGCGCAAAUUGAGAACUACACUCUAAGAGGCCCGGCAUAAGAAAAGUUUACAACCCUCAAUCCACACGAGAAAGAACAUCUAGCAGAGAAAACAAAUAAAGUAAUACAAUAGUUAUCCUCACAAACAGAACAGUAACUAGGCAAAUACAAUCAUAAACCCUAAGAUGCAGCAGCUUCAGUCCAAGUUUACAAGAAUGAAGGAGCAGUCACGAAACUAAGAAGAAACAGAUCAAAAAUCAUUAGAGACAGGUGGAAAAUAGAGAUGGUAAUGGAAUGAUCCAUUAUUAAUGUAUUUUAAAAAAAAACUUGCGCUAGACACCUAGGCCUUCUUUACAUGUCUAAAUGUGAUAAUGAAAUGUUCUCAACCAAGAAAAGGAGGGAGGAAUCCUAUGGAAUUUGAAAAUCUUUGGCGGGGACAAAGAAGGGAACAAAGAUGCAAGCAAUUGAAGCAUUAUUAAACCAAGAAUUCCUAUGGAGGCGAGGAAAAAUUGCACUAAAACAGGAUUCUCCAUCCCAGAUAUCUUCCUCGAAAUGACACCUCUAGUCUGACUAUGUAACAGAAUAGAGGAUAACAUGAAAAGGCCGUAACAGAUGGAUUUCCAUUUCUGACCCGUCCCACCCAUUCACAUGUAAACCGUAUGUACUUCAUAUAACUAAGUUCCAAAUAGAAAUAAUCUAAGUAUGGUAAGAAUGGAUUCUGGUUUAUCGGAAACAGGAACGUGACAACCUCGUAUAUAAUGUAUUAUCCAAACACUGAAGACUUCCUGGAGGGAUGGAUGAAAUCGUUAUCAAACAAUUUUUGUAAAAGGUCGUACCCAGUGCACAAGGCUCCCGCUUUACGCAGGGUCUGGGAGAGGUGAAUGUCGGCUAGCCUUACCCCCAUUUUAUGGAGAGGCUGCUCCCAAGUCUCGAACCCGAGACCUACCGCUCAUGGGCGAAGGCACUUGCCAUCGCACCAAAGGCUCCCGCUUUAUUUUUGUAAAUAAAAAUAAAAUGUGUUAUCACCAAGAAAAUAGAAAAAGGUGAGAAUACCUUCCAGCUUUCAACUGCUCCCGUUUUAACGGGAGAGGUGAAUGUCGGCUAGCCUUACCCCAAUUUUAUGGAGAGGCUGCUCCCAAGUCUCGAACCCGAGACCUACCGCUCAUGGGCGAAGGCACUUGCCAUCGCACCAAGUGCGACCUCUUUAUUUUUGUAAAUAAAAAUAAAAUGUGUUAUCACCAAGAAAAUAGAAAAAGGUGAGAAUACCUUCCAGCUUUCAACUGCUCCCGUUUUAACAUUCAAUAUUAUCUCCCAAAGGUUCUGCUGACUCACUUUAAUUGUAUCCCCAAGAAUUUCACUGAUGAAUGUAGCUUCUUUAGUCUUGAUGACCUGGAAAGCAAGGCCAGUUGUAAAAAUUGUUUUAUAUGACAAAAGCUGUAAGAUUCAUUCUUAUUGUCUAACUAGGUAUUAAGAAAAAAACAAUUACAUGAGGAACAAUUUCUCUCUUGGAAGGCAACUGGACUUGUGUAGAUGAGAUGACAUGACCAGCUUUAACCCACUUUGUGGAAUGCAAAAGCUUAGCAGUUAUUGUUAGAAAAUAUUCCUCCGCAAAUGAUGAAGUCCAUAGAGGAUACCAUGGAGCUGACUUCCACUCAAUAGAAAAACUCUUCUGAGGUUCAAUCAAAGGAAGAGGCAGAAUUCCAGAUCCAAGUUUAUAUCCAUCCCCAUGAGCAGACCAGCUGAACUCCAAUCCUUGUGUUGUUUCAUAAAAGUGAGUAUUUGUUAUCUGUGAGGUGAUAUCAGUUACAGAAACAUUUAAUAAAAAGAAAGAAAAAGAAUAAAGCAAACACAAAUAUGUGAAAAGUACCUUUACUGCUUCUUCCCUGAAUGAAACCUUGAUUGGUUGGUACACAUACUUGACUUCUGAAGAUAAUAAUCAAAGCAGCGAGCAAUGAUUUAAUAGAUAAAUGACCAACAAAUGUUAUCUUAAAGAACUUUGAGGACAGUGGUAUUUGUAAGUUUAUCGUAAAUUAUCAGCUUACCAUGCAUUGCAGGAUGAGGAGUUCGAUCUGGCCAUACAAGGCCAUUCAAACAGAAGUUCAGAUCAUUAGGAACAUCUCCAAAGUCACCCCCAUAAGCCCAGUGCUUACUACCAUCUGCACUUUCCUUCAAUAGGCCCUAUAUACAACGAUAAAAAUCUAUUAUCCCCUGAUGGAAUCCAAUAUUUAACUUAAUGUUGAUGAUCAUCAGUAUAUUUCUUAUACCCAGGAUACGUUACCUGAUCAACCCACUCCCAGAUAAAGCCUCCUUGGAGACCAAAUGUGCUAUCAAUUGCUUCCCAAUAUUUAUGUAUAUUGCCACUGCUGUUUCCCAUUGCAUGUGAAUACCUGCCAUUAUUUUAUCAUGGUUUUAAGUGAAGAAAUUUGAUUUCUAUGAGCAUAAACUGAGGCAUCUUGUAUAACUUUUCAGAAUAAAUAACAUGUUUGAUAUAGAACAAUUAUUGGACUAUAUCUAAUAGCUAAAGCUUUCCGGAGUAGUGGUAAAGCAACAAACUUGAUCAUAGUAUUAGACCAAGCAAUCAUCAGUGUAAAUCCCCAUAAUUGCAACCUCCCUAAAUAAUUGAACUUCACAUGUUGGACUCUAUUAGUGAAGAGGCGACAUAACUGAGGACAGAGAAGUGCCAAAUAUAAAUAUAAGUUGACUCAUGUUCUAACUAUGGGAAUAUGGUAAAAUCAACUUAUCUCAAACAACAGUAAAAGAAAUAGUAAUUUUACGUACUCGCACAAUAUCAAAGGACGUGUUUCAUUUGGAUCUUUUGCAAUCUUCACAAUGUCCCAGACCCGCAUAUACAUGGGACAUACAAUAUCUGUGGAUGGAGUUCUGGAUCCACCCCCUUCGUAAUGUAACAGCCGUGAGGGAUCCUUGCCACGAAUCCAGCCUACGUUCAAGAUUCAAUUAUUGUAAACAAUGAGUGGUAGGAAAAGGUUGACGAAUAAAGAUGCAUUGGAAGCAACUUCAAUUAAAUUCCAAGGACAAAGGUGAUCUAAACUUUUUUUUUUAAUAGGAAAUGUAAACAUUUUAAAAAUUGGAUAUGAUAAUGAACCCAAAUUAUAGACAAAGUGAUCUUGAUUGGCUUACCCAACUUUUAAUAGAAUUUUAAUAUUUUCUGAAUUAUUCAAAAUUAGAGUGCAUGCUUCUGUCUUUCGACAAAAUUCAUAUUACUAGUGUAAAGCCCCUUCCCAAAUGAUUGCUAUUACUUCCUUAUUUACGAAAUUAUUGAACGCAAGUUCAUCACCAUUAUUUCAAGGUAAACCUAUUAAACGCACAAUGUGAUUCCCAAUAGCCUAUUUUCGAAGAAAGAAUCAUUUGGGAAUCGUAUUGUGGAUUUAAGAAGUUUACCUAGAAAUUUAAGUUACCAGCUAAUUCAAAACAUAUAAUUCUUGAACAAGUAUGACAUUCUCUAUAUAAGUUCCUUUGAAGCUCGACCAAAAUAAGGAUGUUUAAGGAAAAUGGUUACCGGCUGAAGCAGAAUGAUUAGGUCCAUAUCCCGCUUCAUUUCCUAGGGACCAGGAGAGAAUGCAAGCAUGAUUUUUGUCUCUCUCAACCAUGCCUAUCACACGGUCUAUCAUUGCAGUAGCCCAGCUUGGUUCUAAUGUAGGAUGCUUCACAUGCCCAGAAUAAUCAAAACCAUGGGUCUCAAUGUUGGCUUCAUCUAUCAUGUACAUGCCAAACAAAUCACAAAGCUCAUACCAACGGGGAUGUUGGGGAUAAUGACUGUUUCUCACAGCAUUGAAAUUAUAUUGCUUCAUUAAAAUCAAAUCCUGUACACAAAACAGAGAUGAAAACUUCAGGAACGUAAUAAACAGAACCACCCCCUCAAGGUGCCAAUCAAAUAGGCAAGCAGAGAAUAAACGAAGGGAACUAAAAUAUUUGUCACCUUAACCAUGCAGGAUUCUAUGUUCGUUUUUCCCAGACGUGGAUGAUGCUCAUGCCUGUUUACACCCCUUAUUAUUAUUGGACGCCCAUUAACAAGCAGCUGUUUGGGGGCUUUUGAUACUUGUCGUAUGCCUACGAGGCAUGAUUCACAGUCCACAAGGUUACCAGAUGCAUCUUUCAAUAUAACAGCAAGUGUGUACAGAUUUGGCUGUGGAUGGUAAACAAUCCGUUGAGACACUUGAAUGCAAUACAUACAUACAUAUAUAUAUAUAUAUGUAUAUGCAUAUGUAUAUAUAUAUAUGUAUGUGUGUAUAUAUAUAUAUAUAUAUAUAUAUAUUAGAGAGAGAGAGAGAGAGAGAGAGAGAGAGAGGAUAGAAGAAGUCAAAAGCGUUCAAAAGCAAAUACUAUAACACACGAUCAGCGAACCAUCUGUGAAACAUAAAUAGAUAGUCGACAAGCUUUAUUCCCCUUACUGUCUCAAUCUGGUCAUAUACUUCCUUUCUAGCAUAAAAGAGAAGUGGAAUGACAGCAACUAAAAUUGAACCACAGAUUCAAAUUGUUUAAUAUUCAGUACAGCAUCACUGAAAGCAUUAGAGGUUCUUAAAGGCGAUGGUAUUAAGUAAGACAAACUUUGCUACAAACUCAUCAUGGACAAUGUAUAGUAUAUAUUAAUUGUGAUCUGCUCUAUCCUUCUGCCCUAUUAAGAACUCUCUUAGAGCAUCCCCAGUCAGGGGUGUAUACUACUGUGGUCAAGUGAUCUAUCUGCUUUAUGCUUAAGUCGAACGAGAACUUGACUACCAUGUAGGAAAGAACCAAUGCCAUAUUCUCAACACAACUUGAAUAGCCCUUAAUCCUAACUCAUGUUUAGUUGAGGCGUGCUGAGUAAGGGAGAAAGUUGUAAUCUCUAGUAUUCACAAACUCUGGUGUCAUGUGAAAAAGAAAAAUCUACUUAUCCUAUAAGCUGUUAUAAUUCAACAAGACAUUUCUUUCAACAUAUCUCGAAAAAGAAAGCAAAGUAAGUUAUUGUUUGGACCCAAAAUUAAGGGUCAACAGUUAUAUAACAAAAAGGUGCAGCACACACAAAUGCUACAUGUUAGGUUAAAAUAUUCACAGUGCCCGGGUACUUCCAGCACUUGACAGACAUUUUUGGAAAUCAUCACUCAAUGAAUACUAGUAAGUAAUAACGUAUAUAUAACUUCAAAUGGUCUGCUUUUUAGCUUAAGAACAAGACAGGAAGAAACAAAAUGAAAGAACGAAUGAAGUGUCCUUACUUGCUCGGCAGACCAAAGCCUCGGCAUUUCCAGUCUCCCUUCCAGCCAAUAACCAUGAAAUCCAAGGCUUGUGCUGGGUGAGGGAUUAAGCUUUAAACUAGCCACAUUAGAUGAGGCCAGAUCAGCAUAUCCAUCAGUACUGUACCAGCUAGCCGUGUCAAAUAAUGAAGCUUCUAUUGUGUAGUUGGGAAGAAAACUAUCUUUAGAUGUUUCUCUGGAGUUAUCUAUUUUCACUUCAACCUGGUAAAAAAUGCAAAAAGAAAAUAAAUAAAUAAAGAAUUAAAAAAUUCCAUGUAGUUAAAUAGUACUAAGAAGAGAACAUAAUCUCAUCAUAUUGAUGACAGAUAAAUCAGUUACAGUAUAAACUUAACAGACAUUGUGAUAAUCAAAGUAAAAAGUGAGCAUAACAAAAAUAUAAUCAAUAAGAAACGUCAAUGGGUUACAAACUACUGUCCAGUAAUGUGCAAGAGGUUCAUCCGGACAACGCUAUAAAACAUUGUUUGUUUUUAUUACUCAUUAAAAACAAAGACAUCCUUUCUCGAUUAGUAGAUACUUGCCUGUAUGUCUGCAUAAGAAAAAUCCUCGGCCAGAGUUGAUUUGAAAAAAUAGUCUGCGAUGAAUACCUGCACAUCAGUUAUACUUUAGGAUUUAAUGUUAUGCGAUGCUUUAACUUAAGUUAGCAGCAAAUAGCAGUUUGCAUUACUCAAAUUACUGAGGAAAUAGUUGAGAUAAUCCUAUAUGUGUAAUCAAAGUAAAAUAUGUGUUAGCAAAUUAAUGAACUAGGUCAUGACUGCGCACACUGACAUGCAAAGAGAAGAGAUGGAAUGAUCUUAAUGUAGAGAAGCAGCCAUGCAAAUCAUCAAUGCAUACAUAAUUGUCCCCAGUCUCCCGCUAUGUAAUAGCUCCAAGAAAAGCCAAUCACACAGUAUAAUGGUAUUUAAAAGAAAAGAACACAAAUGCAAGAAAAUUAUAGAACCUGUGGCUUGGAAAGGAGAAGCACAUCACGAUGAAUGCCAGAUAACCACCAAUGAUCUUGAUCUUCAAGGUAAGAGCCAUCACUCCAUCUGAAAACUUGAACAGCUAGUACAUUUUCUUGUCCGUACUGAAUGGGUAACAAUAAUCGGUGAUUUCAAAUUCAGCAGGAAGUCUGCUGUCCUGACUGACCUAGCACGAAAUAAAGCUUGUUAAUGUAUCUGAUAGAGAUUCCUACCUAACCAUGCAUCCCUUAUAAGCACAAAAUGAUCUUCAUUUUGACAUUGCUAUGCUCUGAGUGCUACAAUCUACAAGAUCAACAAAUGCACUUAUUGCUAACUGAUCAAAAAGCCAUUAAAUAAUUACCUAUAUCCUAUCGGGACCCCAUUCACCCAUGCACAGAAAGCAGAAUCAACAGCUUCAAAGUGCAAAAAAAUCCUGCGGCCUGUCAAAUGCUAGUCACAUGUCAAUAUGUCAUACAUUUACAUUUAAAAUGGUUACUUUUAAAACAUUACCAAAGUUGAAAAUAAGACUAUUUCGAAGCAUACAAGUUAUAGCAUGGUACAGGUUUGAUAUAAUACAGAUCAGGAAACAAAAAACAGAGGGAAACAAAGAACAAAAAUAAAAGAAUUCAAAAGCAUCACUAAUUAGCAAUGCAUUCAAAUUGAUCAUACCACUCCAUUCUUUAGGAAUGUCAAAGUAUGUCCUAUAACAGCCAGUAGGAUUGUCCACAUGAACAAAAGGUGGAUCCAGUGGAAAUGGAUACACAACAUUUGUAUAAAUAGGCCGAUCAAAUCCAUGCAUCUGCCAAUUUGAAGGAACUGUUCCAUUAGAGAAAAAAAAGUAAUGAGUCGGAUGAAAAUUGCAUUUCCUAGACCCAGCAAUCAUGAUCAGUGAAUAACAUAAACAGGAAUAAGGAUAUAAACAACUAAGAAUAUAAAAAUACUAUUAAAUUUCCUAUUCUUUUAAAAAUGAAGAUGAAAAGAUAAAUAUGGAAUCAUGGGCAUGAUCCUAACCCUCUCCCUAAGAGGUAGGUCCUUAAAUUCUGGGUAGUUACAGAUAUACAUAUAUCUUGACAAAUUUUCAUGGUUUCCCAUUACUCACUAGAACUUGAUUGGAUGCGAGCCAACUAUCACGUAUACACUCCAACACAACACACCAUAUAAAUAUAAAGAAGAAAAAGCGAAAGAUCAUAUAUGCCUACCGGGCAAAGUUUCCCACGGUAUAUCAUGAAAUGCAGAGUCAUGAAAAUUUAAGGGAACAUUUUUAGGAUUGGAAGCCAAGAAGAAUUUCCAAUAGCCUGACAAGGACUUGACAAAAGGCAAGCCCUUGACCCAAAGAGCCGCGCUGUCAAGAGCUCCAACAACAGCAUCAUCAUUCCAAACAGCAGAGUUGGAUACCACAAAACUCACUUUGUUGCGUUCAUACCAAUAUUUAAGAGACCCUGCACAACAUAAACAACAUCAGAUAUCCUCUAAAAGUAAGCCGUACAAUCAGAACUUAGAUGAUGGUGCUCCUGAAUCAAGCACCCAAACCUCUCAGUCCAACAUUGAACCAAUUAGGUUCUGCGUUUUCUUUCCGAUGUUCCUAAUCCUACCCAGUUACGUGUAAUAUCAUGCGUACUGCGGCUAGUGCCCCCAACCUACUAUUGGCAACAUGCAACACCAUGCUCAUAUACCAAACCAUGAUGCAGUUUAUGAGAGAUGUACGAUAAUACAAAAAUCUGCAUCACAACCAUGCUCCAACAACAAUUCAUCCUAGAUAUUUGAGAAAAAGCAUUUACACUGAAAACCUUAUGUAUCAAAACUUCAACAAAAAUCUUUGUCCACAUAUGUUAACCCAACUGAUGAGCUUGGAUAUACAUACAUAUUACAAAUACUCAAAGCUGUGUGAUUCUACAUGAAAUCACCAAAUCAUCAUCAUUUACGAUAUAUAUUGCGUGUAGAACCUCAAAUUCACAGUAAACAAUUUAGCUAAAUGCAUUCGAACGUUACAACAUCCAAAAUGCAAUGUGAAUCUGAAUCAAAGAAUUAUACUUCAACCAUUCAUCAGCAAACCCCAGCAAAAAAAAAAAAAAAAAAAAAAAAAAAAAAACAAUUCCAUCAGUCAACCAAGAACUAAAAAUUACAAAAACCAAAUUCAACAAAUCAAUUUUAGAAAAUCAAAAAUCAAAGCAAUAAGAAACUGAGAUUGAAAUGCCAUGAGUGGUUUACCAUCAACUGAUUCAUGGCAGCGUAAAGGGACAUGGGCGUCUCUCUUCCGCCACUUGAUGAUCGACUGGUCCUCCCACACAUGAUGCUGCCCAUUCUCUAACAGGGAAACGAGUUGACCCGGCAAAGAAGAAGCCAUGGCCGAAGCUCAGAUGUUUGGAUCAAUCAGAUUGGAGAGGAGUGAGAGAGUGGAGCUCAGUAAAACAUCAUGAAAAUGGUGACUUGGUAUUAGCUUAUUGAUUUUGGCUAUUUCCCUCACAAAAAGUUAAAAUAAAAUAAUGGAUAAUUGGAUAACCUCGCACGUUUCUCUUUCAAUUACAUCGCGCCAGGUAGCGGUGCCCCGAUUAGCCGGUUUGGUUUGGUUCGUUUUGAAGCGCAUUAUAAUUUAUAAUCUACGUUUAAGACUCAAAGUCUGUCGAUCAUUUAAUAUUAUGGUCUAGUGUUAUUUCUUUUCACUUGUAAAUGAAGUCUUAGGUUCGAUUUUUGUUACUUUUCACUUGUAAAUGGGGUCUUAGGUUUGAUUUUUCCCACAUGAGAGUUUGAACAACAUUACUGUUAGCUUAUUGUGAGGCUAAGUCCACCCACUCCUAUUAGUAUAAAAAAUAUCGUUUGUUAAAAAAAAUAAAAAUAAAUUGAUUCUUGCCAAAUGCGAGUUUGAGCAACAUUACUGCUAGCGUAUUGUGAAGCUAAGUUCACACUCUCUCUUUUAGUAUAGAAAAUAUAGUUUGUUAAAAAUAAAAAAAUAAAAAAUAAAUAAAAAAAGACUCAUGCUAGUGGCAUUGUCGAACCAAAAGGUUUAGUAAAGGAAGCUAAACCGUUUUUUUUUCUUAUACACACUCUUUUUUAGUUUAACUAUCAAACUAAAUGAAUUAAAACGGGGAAUAAUUAGAGUUUGUCGCUCUGUUUCUCAGUUUUUUUACUAAACAUUUGUAACUUUUCUGUUUUUGAUUAAGCAUUAUAAGUUUAAUUUUGAGUACUUUGACUUGUUUCCAAGUCAGUUAUUUAACCCUAAUCAUAUUAAUUGUGUUGGGAGAGUAAUUUUUAGAUUGUAUCAUCAAAUACGCUCUCUUAAAAUGACAAAAAGGGACAUGAUUAAAUAAGGUUGUGUAAAAUGAGGUUAUCAUUUUUCACUUUGUAAGCCAUCGAGAAAAUAUUGUUAUAUUACCUCAAAUAUAUAUAAAAGGAAUUUCAUAGUGUAAAUUCAAAAAGUAAUAGACUGAGACUCAGAAUUUUUUAGAUAAACUACAUCAAAUUCAAAUGAGUUUAGGAUUUUAAUCUUUUUGGUAUUAAGGGUUGAAUUAAAAUUGUGAUAACAAAUAAGGGGAAAAUGCAAAAGUGUAAAACCAAGUACUUGGUUAUGGUUUGGUUUAGUUUGGUUUAGUUUAAGCGAUUUUCAAAUAAGGCAAAAUAAAUCAAAUAAAAUGUAGUCCGAGUUUAGUUUGACUUGGUUCAAUUUACACAUUCAUUAUCACAUUAUUAAAAAAAAUAUUCUACGGUGCUCCAAAGCAUUUAUACUCGGGGCUUUUUGAUUGUCUAGACAGAGACCAAUAUCCAUCAAUUCCACAUGUUCAUUUCCAUUUGCAAAGAAAUUCAUCAUGGCCCGGUUGUAAGCAUUAAUCCUAUAUCACAAGUAAGGCUGUAAAUCGGCUCAAAACAGUUCGAGCUUGAAUCGGGUUGGGCUCGUGUUUGGCACGUCGAAGCUUGACCAAAUUGAUUUGGUUUGUUUACAUCCAUAAUCAUAAGCACUAAACCAGAAAAAAUAUAGAACAUUAAAUAAAAAAAAAAUUCCAAACCAGAAGCAUAAUAAACUGAGCAAUGGAAGCCAUUGAAGGCCAUCGACAAGACUUCUGCAUUUCAUAUAUAAAACUUGAUUUUUUUGCAACUGCAACAUAAGCAAGCAGCUUGCUUUUCUCCCAGUUCAGGGUUCAGGUUAACUGCAUCCAGCAGCUACCAACUAGUUAACUAAUCAAUGCUCUCAGAUUAAACAUAAAUCAACGAACGAAACGCUGGAUUUGUCAGGAGCUGCUAACGACUGCCUAGUAUAUACAAAUCAAAAAGUAGAGGGGCAGAAUGUUCAAAUCUAAUUACAUCAGAAUCUCAAAACGACCGAUGCCCCGGAAAUAGCCAUGCCCUAUUGUGUCUCCUCGUUCCCAGUUUGCUCUGAAAUGGGGGUUUGACUUAGAGUUUGCUCUGCAAUGGGAGUUUGACUUAUAGUUUGCUCUGCAAUGGGAGUUUGACAUGGAGUCUGUUCUGGAAUGGGAUAUUGACUUGGAGUGGGGUUUCGCUCCCGAUUCCCUCCUCUCCUAGUAAAAUACUUGCCUAUGAAUGUUUCCGCAACAUCAGCAUACUUUUCCUUAAUGUAAUUCUCCAGGCAUUUUCGAUAUGAAAAAUCUUCCUUGUGACCAUCUGUUGUCACAACAAAAAAGCAUCUGCUGUCCUGGAAACUGCCGUGCCUAUCAACCUGUCAUCAAUGGCCGGUGUAAAUUAGGACAAUAUGCAACCAAAUAAGUCCAUUAACACACAAGCCAAAUUCAUUCGUAAACAACAAAGCUUUGGAAACUUGUGUUUCUUUUGGUUUUCGAUAAGAACACAACAUAAGCAAUACAGGGUUUGUUAUUACAAGACAAGUAGUUCUUGAGAAAAGGUAAAUAAGAUGAGGUAUUCCAUCCUGGCUAUGUUUCCAAGUACUAUGAAAGAAAACCCUUUCCCCGUCAUUACUAGUCCAGACUUAAAAACCCUUAAGACGGAGCAUAGUCUUAAUUCGUAUUUAAAGACAAGUAUAUACUUCUCUAAUGUCUUCUUAUCUGAAAGAUUAGAUCCACUCAACCAGCCUUGGCAGGGUGGGAGCUAUGAGUAAAUAGCAAAACCAAUAGAGAAAAAAAAAAUGGUUUUCCAACUAAACCCCGUCUAGUCAUCUUCCUAUGUGUAACAGCCCUUUGCUAAAAACUAAUUAUUGACAUAAAAAACGGUUUUGAGAAGCAGAACAAAUUUAGGCAUGCAACAAAACACAUGGAAGUUUACCUCAAUGGACAAUGUACAAAAUUCAGUAUAAACGUUAUAGUUCAGUAAAAAAUAAUAUGAACAUUAGAAUAACCAAUAUAACAAUGGAAUCAGUCACAGAAUCCAAGCAUAAUGUAUCAAAAGUGCACUGAAACAUAAUUCUAAAUAAAACGCAGUUAAGCAAGAACAGGGUAGAUAAACAUACUGUGAGAUGACCAAUUCCAGAACCCAUUUUAACAGCUUUAUCCGGGUGGUAAUUGAGAACAUUAUCAAGUAUAAAUGACUGGUCGUCAGCUGACAGUGGAUCCCCAUCAUUGUACCUGGAUAGAAUAAUUUAAAAACCGAUAGUAGGUUAGAGGAUUGUCAAGCACCAAGCAAAGAUGUUGCAACAACUAAAACAUUCAAAAAAGGAAAGAAAGAAAGAAAAAAAGUUGCAAAAUUAGGCACCAAUAACAUACGCAAAGCGGAUAUAAUGCCCCAGAAUGAAAUCAAUUCCUUCAUAUGGAGAUCAGUGAAAAUAUGAUAUCCUUGAGACAUCUCAAAAGCAAAGUCAAAUGUAACACGUGAAUUCAGUAAGUUAUCAGAUGCAUUUCCUUUAUAGUUCUUAUGCUUACUUUUUAUAUAAAGAUAGACUUUAGACUUCAUACAUCAAAAGAAAACAAAUAGUAACUAAUAUGAAUGGGAAGUACAAUCAAAGUGGACCAGCAGUCCACAAAUAUGCUGCCCACAAACUGCAAUAACCAAGAUAUUAAAACUAUGACAGUACAGCAUCCAACAACGCAGAAAAUAGAACCAAAACCACCCACACUACAAUCAGGACAACUACGACAUAGCGGCUUUCUAGUAGAAAUUGAAAAGAAUGGGCAACGGCAACCAUGAUACACACCAAAGCCCACAGAGAGGUGCCAAAACCCAACCCGUAUCUCAUAAAUAGUCCACAACCUCCAAACUUUAUCUUUAAACUUGGAGCCCCAAGAGUUUGAAAACUAACUAUGUUCUACGAUGAUGUUUUGGGAGGGACUUCAGUCUUAGACUCAGGCUCAACUAGAGCUUUGACAGGUGAAUAUGAAACAACAUCGUUGCACUACAUGCGAGUAUAACACUUCAAAUGUUAACGCAUUAUUUUCGACUGAGGGAGGAUUUCGUCAAGAAAUUCCCUGGAUUUAAAUGGAUUCUUACUUCAGACAAGACAUCUCAAAGUCAAAAUUGUUAAGAAAGAAUAUAAACAGAAAACUAACCCAGUUAAUUUGAAAAGUAUCAUAUACUUUAGAUAAUUCGAUCAGUCUAGUCCUAAUUGUUAAGAAAGAAUAUAAACAGAAAACUAACCCAGAUUGAUGCAUUAUUCUUCGGAUAGAGCGCAUAACAGGUUCAAUUUUAGAAAGAACGUCUUGCUCCUCGCUAGGGAACAUAUCCAAUCUUUGUCUUGUUGCAGUAUAGAGUCCAACCACACUAGAGUUAUCAUUCACCAUACCAGGUGGUUUGGCAGGACGGUUCUUAUUCUUCCACUCCCCGGGACUAGAAACCCAACUCUUUGAACCUUCAAAACGACUUUUCUUGUUCUGCCCCCAUUGGUGAUGUCUUUCACCAGUAUUACCAUCUCCACUAGGUGAAUCCCACCCAGACAAGCUCGCAGGUUGAGUUUCUGUCUCAGGAGGAUUUUUCUGCCCCCAAGAACUGGUAGAAAUUUCGGAAGAUUUUUUCUGUUGCCCACUAGACCAAGCAUUGUCAUUCCCUGAUUCUGUUUCCCCAGAUGAAACAGCACCCCAAGGUUGAGUUUCUAUCACAGGAGGAUUUUUCUGCCCCCAAGAACUGGUCGAAAUUUCAGAAGACUUUUUCUGUUGCCCACUAGACCAAGCCUUGUCAUUCCCUGUUUCUGUUUCCCCAUAAGAAACAGCACCCCAAGGUUGAGUUUCUGUCUCAGGAGGAUUUUUCUGCCCCCAAGAACUGGUCGAAAUUUCAGAAGACUUUUUCUGCUGCCCACUAGACCAAGCAUUGGCAUUCCCUGUUUCUGUUUCCCCAGAAGAAACAGCACCCCAAGGUUGAGUUUCUGUCUCAGGAGGAUUUUUCUGCCCCCAAGAACUGGUCGAAAUUUCAGAAGACUUUUUCUGUUGCCCACUAGACCAAGCAUUUUUCUGCCCCCAAGAACUGGUAGAAAUUUCAGAAGAUUUUUUCUGUUGCCCACUGGACCAAGCAUUGUCAUUCCCUGUUUCUGUUUCCCCAGAAGAAACAGCACCCCAAGGUUGAGUUUCUGUCUCAGGAGGAUUUUUCUGCCCCCAAGAACUGGUCGAAAUUUCAGAAGACUUUUUCUGUUGCCCACUAGACCAAGCAUUGUCAUUCCCUGUUUCUGUUUCCCUAGGAGAAACAGCACCCCAUCCAUUGUCCUUUUCAUCUACGGCUUUUAUUGUCGGCUGGAGGUCUAUUGGUGCAACUUUCUCUGCCACUCUACCACUCCAAUCAUUUUCACCUCCCUUACUUGCCCCCCAGGCAGAAGUGGUAGGCUCUCCAGUUUCCCCCCAGGCAGAUGUGGAAGCUUCUCCAGCAGUAUUUGCCCUCCAUGCAGGAGUAGUAACUUCUGCUGCCUUGCCUAUCCCCCAUGUAGAUGUGGCAGGUUCUUUGGCUGGAGUUUUAUCCCACGAUGAUGUAUCAUUUUUAUCCCACGAUGAUGUGGCAUCUUCUCUUGUACGAUUUGUCCCCCAUACAGAGGAAUCUUUUUCCCAACUUGACUUUCCAGGAAGAGUUUCUGAUUCCUCAAAUUCUAUAAUAUCUUCAAAGACGGGCUUAUCUAAACCAGAGUCAAGUUCUGGCGACAAGCAGGAAUCUGCUAAUUCAUCUACCACCAUAAGAUCAUCAACUUCUGCCCCCAGUGCUCCUGUAGUUGCUUCUUCUCCAUUUGCUGUGCUCACCAUAUGCAGAAAGUUGAAAACAUCUAGUCCACCCUCUUGAUUCAAUCCUCCCUGAAAAAACAAAAUAUUAAUAUUUAAAUUAAAUGGCACGGAACAUUCCAGCAGCAGAUUAAACUACCAUACAGCUGGGAAAAACUAGAAGUAUGUUAAAAAUCAUAUUUACCUCUCUUGUGUCCCAGAGGAUAUCAAACCUGGAGCCAGUACCAACAGCAACAUGUUUACCCCAUGAACAUGAUGCAACUAUGCUUGACAAAGAAUCCAUGUGGCACUUUUCAGCUGCUCUCUCAAAGCACCUUCUUGGUGUCUACAGCCACAUGUAAUGAAACUACAAUUAGUUGUGAUUGUAGUUCAUCUAACAACAAACUAUAGGUAAAUGUCAUUUAUAGAAUUAGGCAAGAGUUCAAUUACUCACAAAAAGUGUUGCUUCUGUAAAUGGUACUUGAAUAUUCAAUGCUCGAGAUAGUGCUUUAUAUCCACUAGAAUUGAAGCCAACAAAAUUUCCAGCACAUGUCAUGCUAUUCGCCAGGAGGAUAAGAUGCUCUUUCAGGACACCUUUUGCCACCAUUGUAACAGCUGUCGCGAGGCGCUGCGUAAUAAAAUCCAAAAAUGAAUUCUUAGUAGAAAAGUACAAUACGUAUCUCAUAUCACCCAGUGUUGGUCUAAUAUGAUCCAAUUUUCCUUGAAAACUAAAAAUGUUAAACUUCAUAAGAUGCACAUGAUGAUACAGGACUAAAAAAAGGUGGCAUGCCCGAGGAAACCACAAAUGCAGCACACAAUUCCAAAAAAAAAAAUUCAAAAUUCAAAAUAAGGUCCAUACUAAAUGAAGAUCAGUCACAUGAAAGGCUGAACCAUAACUAAUGGUGAAAUGAUACAAGUAUAGAAAAUAAAUCGUAGUAUAAUAAAUAUACAUCCAAAUAUAUACACAACUGAUGUGAUAAAGUAUGCCGAACAACAACAACAAAAAAGCCUUAUCCCACUAAGUGGGGUCGGCUGUGAUAAAGCAUGCCCACUAGAAAAUAAAUAAAUAAGGAAGCAAAGAGUUAACCAGAAGUCUAGCAUGUCAAACACUCCAAAGGGAGAGAAGCUUAUUAGACACACAGAAACUACUGGACACUAUAGGUGAUAAUUUCCUAGUAAUGCAGCAGCAUAAUAUGAUCACCAAACACAAUAUUACCGCGAUUACUCAACGUGUAUCUGAAUUUUAUCUACUCGUUAACGAACGAUAAAAAGGUUGAGCUAGUAUCAAACAGUAGAUUUUGACAGAAGAAACUAUUUAAUUGGUAUUGUAUGAGGAAAAUUUCAGAUUUUUUCCUGUGUACUUCUUGAUUGGUAUUAUUGAAUGAAUCUCUCUAGAAUCAGGAGUUUUUUCCUAGAUUUUCUUGCACAUGGAUUGAAUGCAAUUUUCACAUGAAAGGUGUAUUGAAUUAUGAGUAAUGAACUUGGCUUGGAGACAACUAAGUCCAUGUCUAAAAUUUUGAGUUUCAAGCUGUAUCAAAACAUAAAAUGGCUAAUAAAAAUUGAGUUAGUGCCUAAUACUAAAUGACACACACAAAACAUGAUAUACACAGCCCUAUAACAACCCAUAAUAUAAACAGCUAGCCACAAAAGCUAGCAUGACUUCUGAUAUAGGAUCAUAAAGUUCAAGAUUCGCAGUAGAAAGAAGGAAAAUUGUGAACCUCUGAUUUUACCUGAACUGCUUGAUCAAAAGCACAAGACACUCCCAAUAGUUCUUGAAUCUGUUUGAUAGCAUACGGGAUGGAACGCCUGGUGUCAAUUAGGUGAAGCACAGGGAGGCAAGAAUCGAGAACGAUUCUCCAUGCAUCACCGCUUUGCUUGACAACAGAUCUCUCCAGAACAACAUCCAAGGCCCAUUCACCCUUUUGAGAAUUAUUUGGACUUCUAAUCCAAGUUGUUGUAUCGGGAUCAAUCCAAAUUAUAUUUGCUGAGGUAAUCCGUGGGUCACCUGUCCAUUUUAGAGACAUUAAGACUUUACUAAUAGAAGAGUUACAAUAUAGUUUCCAGCAGUAAACAACAUGUCCACCAUCUAAUAAAAACUACAAUAAGUCAAAUAAAAAACUGCUUCUAUCACCAGCAUCAAAAGUCCAAAGAUCAGCUAACUGCACCCAAUCUGAUCAAGAAUCAUGAAAGGACUAUCUCUCAACUCAGGCAUUACUAAUGCUUAAAGCUAAAACGUCAAAACCUUCACUCUAUCCGUCAAGGCCACUGCACCUCUCCAAACUUUUCCUACAAAUUUCUAGCAAUAGAAUCCAACUGAAUCCCACCCCCACCACCAAAAAAACAAAAAAAAAAAAAAAAAAAAAGAAGUCAUCAUACCCACAGUUCCACUAAGCUUUUACUUGCCUCCUCAAAGUACAAUGUUUCCAACUAAUACAUUAAUUACUAUACAAGAGGAUGAAAAUGCACAACUCAACCUAGAAAUAAAUUAUGAAUAUUUCGACUGCAUUCUUGCAGAGUUUAACACUAAACUGUUGAUAGGCACAUAUUUGGCCUCUUACGUUGGAUAUGAUCACAAGUAAUGGCCAUCCCAUACGCAACUAACACAACAAAAACGUGUACCUUGGGAUGGGAUGAAAAAAAAGUAAAUAUGAGGUUCAUGAGACAGAAGAGAAGUAGGAUUUUUCUAUUAAAAAAACAAAUAGAAGUAGGACUUCAAUAAGACAGACAGAAGCAAAACACACAAAUUGCAUAUAAUCACUGACAUUCCUGUUUUAGAUGUGAGUUGGCAAAACAAAUCAAAAGACCAAGAUUCACUGGAAAACAAGGAAACUCAAAUAAUAAAUUAGUAUUUCACUCUUUAGAAAAUCACUCCAAAAGCUACCUUUUAUUAUUGUUUCUAAAAGCACAGGGCAAAUCAAAUCAGCAUAGUAUUGCGAAGUGGUUUCCAACUCUUCAGUAGCUUGAAGGAAGAACAUCAAGCACGGGGAGUCAGAUCCUUUGUCUGCACAGGAAUGAUGAAAAGAGCAAUGCUCACUGCAAACAAUGAAGCAUUUAUCAUUAAGUAGUUUAAAGCGGAGACACAAGUAAACUUAGGAACACAAUAGGGGAAGGGGAAGUCAUACAAGUAUGAACAUUGUAUAUGAUUAUGAUAGUAGGCAACUGCCACAUGCAAAUGAUUUUUGAAAUACGAAUCUUCUUUUGACAUGAAAAUUUCAGUAUCUCUAGCGCUCUUAAAUCCAGUAAACAGUCAGGGUUCCAGAACACAAACAAAUACAAUAUAUAUAUUUAUAAUCUUACACAUAUUUACGUUUUAUGGUAAUAACAAGAAUGAUCUGCCCAUGUUACUGUGGUGGACUUUGUACUGGUGGCGUUUCUCUUAUCAAGCUAUUAUGUUUUCACCUCCCCUUUCCUUUCAGAACUUUUUCCUUCCUUUAUCUUAGUGAAGCAUAACUAAAAGGGCCAAAUAAAUUCAAACAAAAAACCACUAUAAAAUAAGCAAAGAAUAACAGCAUAGCUCAUAAUGUUCCAUAACUUUCAUCAGUAAAAUUUAUUAAUAUCAUAUUGACCAAAAUCAAUUGAGGCUGUGUCCUCGCCUCAUUAGGAAAACAUAAAUGAUCAAGUCAAUAAGGCAAUUGGUAAACAUAAAUAUGAUCCAAUCAGAGAGGGGGGGAAAAGACCUGGCAAACAAAACUGUAUUUUUGAAAAGAUAGCCAAUGUUGAACUUCUUCUUCCCAACUCUCUUCCUCCGAAAUGAAUUAACAGUUUCUUGGCAUUUUUGUUGAAUCUCGUCUACACCAACAUUUAACUCCCGUAACAGCUCCUGUUCAAUAAAGCUCUCGUUAUCCCAAACUAUGAAGUAAUAGCAACUUCGUAAAUGAAAAUAUAAAGAAAACAUUCCAACACAUUGAACUAUGCAAACCUCAUUGAGAUGAAUAUGGCCAACUAGGCCUGCAUCAUUUACCAUACUUCCCAAACUAGAAAGCUGAUUGCUAUAUCUGCAUGUAAAACACAAACUUUUUCAAGCCCACACAUUAAUUUUAUACCACUGCAAAUAAGUACAAAGUGUAGUAGAUGCAAAACUCAAUUUCUUGUCAAUGACAUGGUGACCAAAUAAUAUGUUGGUAGUAACAGAGAAACAUAUUCUCACAAAAGUGGAAGUGAAGAUUACACUCUGCUAUUAUCAGGUACACAACUAUUACUAUAUUGAUCAGCUCUUGAGUAUCUAACUAUUAUUAAACUGGAACUUUGCAUGGUUAACCCAAGCUAUGCAAAAAGAAGCUGCAGACUGUUAAAUAUAUAUUUCAGCAAAGGCAAAACCUUUCCUAGUUAGCAAAUCACACAUUUAUAGACAUAAAAUGAAUUACAUCCACUUAUUCGCAUAACAAAUAAUUCUUCCAGAAUUCUUAAAGCAUAAUCUCCUGAGAAACAUGCAAGAGUUUCUAGAAAACAAAACCACGUAUUUGAUCUGCAGAACUUGAUAUUGUUGAGAAUAUCGCGUUUAAGAAUGGGAAAAACAAGAACAAACUCCGGAAAUCGAAAAACAAAUAACCAAGAUAAAUAACACCAAGAAUUUACAUGGUUCGCAAUAUGUGCCUACGUCCACGGGGCAGCAACAACAAUCUUUCACUAUAUCAAUAAUGAGUACAACCAAUAAUCUUGCCAAAUCUCUAGAACUAGGACUUGACGAAAAACCUGAAAGAACAAGAACAAGAAAUAUACUAUCUCUUUUCUUUUCUCUCGCACACACUUUACAAUAUUCUCUCACUCUAAUCCCUUGAGUGGUAUACAAUUUAUUGUUUUGCUCCCUCCAAUUCAAAACUAGUACAAUAGCCCCUUUAUAUAGACAUAAUAAAGGUCUUCUUCAAUAAGGAUUAUUAAUCCUAAAUCCUAAUUGGAAUCUAGUUAUAAAACCUACUCCAAUUGAGAAACUAACUCCAAUUGGGUAAACAAUUUAAUCCUCUAAGACCAUAAUUACUUAUAGACUUAGGACAACUUAUCAUGGGCUAGAAAAACCUAACAGAUAUCAACAGAUUCAAAUAGAUACCAAGAGAGCUGCAAAUAAAUAUUAAAAUUGCAGGUAGUAGUGCCACAGUGUGGUGGGAGACGGAAAAAGCAUGUCAGCAUAGAAAAUAACUUAAAGCACGGAAGAGGUAGUAACAGGUACUCAUUUCCAGUUCAACUGUGGGUGGGGUUACCUUUCAAGAAAGGUUGAUGCAGAUAAAGCAGGGAAUAUGACAACUGACAACUUAAUCAACAUGAACUAAGGGAUUGAGAAAUAAAUUCCUAGAAACAUACUUAAAUAAAACCAUAUGUGAAAGUGUUGCCAAAAAAAUAAGUAUGAAGAGGCAGAGCAUACUCAAUCAUGAAUUCGACUGCAGUAUCUUUAAGACUGACUUUCUUCAACUGAUUCUUAACCAAACAUGCUGCACGUUCUCGGCAGUACUUUCUUCCACAACCACAGUUAUUCAAGUACAAAAUUACACGGCGAUCAAUGAGCUCAUUCUUAAAAUUUACUUUGCAAAGUAGAAUUUCCUGAAGAACAGACGAUGUAAAUUCAAGUUACGAUAAACAUUUAUGCAUGUAUCUUCAUCAGCUCAAAAAACAUUUAUGCAAAAGAAAACAUAAAAGAUCAAAAACAUGAAUUGAAAGGAAAAACACCAUCAUAAUCAAUAGCCAAGCCAACUACCUUCAUCAGCUCCCAUGAAGAGUUGCUGCUUGGGGUAGAAUCAAGAACUGCCUUGUACGCAGGAUUUGACAUUGCAGUGGCAGCUAACACGCCAACAGGUUCACCAGCAGGGAAAAGAUUCGGGGGCCUAGAUCCAGCAUUGACUCCAUACUCAAAUUGGAUAACUGAAUUGCUACAAACAUUUCUGACUGUGCCAUCAUAGCAAAUAACCACAUCACGAAGAAUGGCCAUUAAAUUUUUAAAUAAGGUCCCAGGUUCAGUCAAUCCUCUUGAGGACCGAACAAUCACCUCUCGUGUAGCAAUGGAGUGAACUAUUUCCUCGUAUGGAUCUAACCCAUGGAAGAAACAACUUUGAACUAGGCCAUAUUCUGCAGAGGGAUACUCCGAGUUAAAAGAAUAUUUGUUGUGACAGAGAGAGGCCACAUCCUCAACCAAUGUCUUUGAGUAGAAUCUUCCCUUAUCAGAGAGUUGUAGGCCUAGGAACCCAAUUUGUUGCACAACUUUGUUGAUUGCCGAAUCACUCUUGGUGUCGAUUAAAUCACCGAAUGCAGAUGACUCCAAGAUAAAAUUUGAAACUGGUACUUUCAAGCUUUUGAUUCGACUCUCUAGCUGAAACUCUACAAAUUCAUUGUAGGUUGACCUCAGAUGAUACAACAAAUCUGAAGUACCCUGAAUAUUCUCCUUAAUAUCUUGUAUGGAUGUCUUUGACAUGUAAAAAUCCUCCAAGCCAACACUGAACCCUUCUGAAAAUAUAUUCUCCAUCAGCAAGGGCUGUAGAGAAUCAAAGAAUUUAAGGACAUCCUCGCCCCCUUUCUCAAAAAAAACUGAAGUAGCAAUGUCAUUCAUCACCGCUGAAACUGCACUUGUACUGAACUCAAUUUUCAGUAUCUCACUUUUAUUGACUAAGUACUUUUCCCCACAGUAGUCAAAGUCAAGAGGCAAUGCAGUCUGUAAUAUCUGCAAAGCAGUCCAAUAUGAGCAAGCAGCAUUUGCUUUCAAUAAUGCAGGUCGUGGCAACAAAGAUGAAGCAAACAUGGCCAGUUGCUGAGCUGCUGAUUUAUCCAAAAAAAAGUUCUUAAACAUCAUCCUCAAUGACAAUAGUGAAUCAGUGGCCAUUUGCAGAUUUGGUUUUCCACUAUGAGAGCUAAGCAGCUGCUUCUCCACUGAAAAAAGCUCCAAAACUUCUGCUUUUGCAGCAAGUGAUUGCGGAUAGAACAAAUGGAUGCAAUCACCAUCAAAGUCAGCACUUAGUGGCCCACAUAUCAAAGGAUUUAUUUUCACCACAUGGUCAUCAUGCACAUACACUUGUAGUGCUUGUAGGGAAUGUUUAUGGGUAGUUGGGGGCCUGUUUACAAAUACAAGGUCCCCAUCCAUAAUCCUCCGAUGCACCACUUGACCAGGCCUCAAAAAAGUGUGCCCCUUUGAACCUUCCCUAAGUGAGUAAGUUGAUGAUCCAUCCCUAUAGGUUAGGCACAACUUGCUAUCUACCAACUGUUGUAAGUACCUAAUGUUAUGAUCAUUAACCCUCUCCUCGAAGGUGAUUCUUUGAGCAAUUUCAUAGGGGAUGCCAACUUCAUUUACCCUUCUAAAGGCAUCCCCAGUGAUUACUGAGCGAGAAGAGAAUCCUGAACCCUUUCUAAUGAACAGUGUUCUCAUUUUUUCAAGCCAUGCUUUAGUGGAAGAGGCAUUCAGCUCCUUGUUUACCCCAAACCUUGCAUCUAUAUCCCGUGAUGCCUUCCCAGUACCCCUAACUUGAAGAUACUGAUCCACUAUGGCUUGAAGUUCAUUAGCUUCAACAAUUUGUGAUUCAAAGUUUGGGAUGCCUGACCUUGAACUUCUUAUGACUUCAAUUUGCUUUAGAACUUUUCUGAGCAUUGAAAUUGAAGGAUCUGCAGACAUAACACUAACACCAUCCGAAAUUUCAGGAACAGAUAAACAGUUUGGAGGGACAGGUAUAUGACGCAAGAUGUAUCCAUCUUGAGGAAAAUACCCUCUUGCAUUAAGUUUCUUCCUGGUGUCUUGAGGGAUACGCUUUAGCAUCUCCAUCACCUGGUAGUCAUUACCAAAAUAAUAUGUAUCAGGAGAACAACAAUUACAAUCAGCAGAAACAGGAAAGGCCAACAGAAUUAUAUAAGAUAAGUAUGAUUUUCAUUAUGAGUGAUUGGCAAUAAAAUCAUUUGGUUAGAAUCUACUUAUACACAUCUGGUGAACUAAGUUAACCAUCAAACUAGUUAGUGAAUGAAAUAAAUUGUGCCAGUUGAAACCACAUGGAGCUGUACAUCUGGCCAACUAAGUUAACCAUCAAUUUAUUUUGUAAACAAAAUAAACUGUGCCAGUUGAAACCACAGGGAAGACAACAACACCCUCUGAUCAAUCCAUUCAAUGAAGAAUCCAACAGUAAGAUGCUAACUUCGCCAGAUUACUGUGAUAAGGGGGAUGAUUGCAUGUGGGUAAGAACUAGAUUUAAGACGUAGUGAUCACAGUAAACCAGAAAACUUUUCCCACAAAUGAAUUGGUGUGCAAACAAGGACUUCAACUAAUUUAGCCAUCAAAACAAUUAGUGGAGCUAAAAUCAAUCAUGAAGGUUGACACCAAAGGAAGGUGGCAGAAGCAAUAGCAACCCCUGAUCAAUGCAUACAAUAAAGUAAGACAGAGGAAUCCAAAAUAAGGUGCUCACUGUGUCAAUUUCUGUGAUAACUGAUAAGUGAGGAUUUCUUUGUAUUUGAGUCAAAUUAAUAAAUUAGAAAUAAGUUCUUAAUGGAAAACAUCAAACUUUUCCACUAAUAAAAACACCGUAGAAAUAACAGUGAACUAUGAGCAAACAAAGACUUCAAUCCACAUAACUGGACAAUAAAAUUCAAUUCAAGUUCCAAGAAUGUGAGAUGAUAGGGAUUCAGUCAGGAAGCAAGAAGCAUACCUCACAAGGAAGCAAAGUACGUAUAUGAUCAUCGCCAUAACGAAAACCAUAUCGUUCGAGGAAAUUCCAAAAACCAGGUGGUGUUCUUGAUUUAGAAGGUCGCUUCAAUUGCAAGGAACAAGAGCUAUCUGUUGGUUUAGUCUCUCCAAUACACACUUGUGCAGCAUCCUACAGAAGGAAUGAGAGGGCAUAAAACUAGUAGAUGGAAAAUGAAGAGAGAUGAAGAGAGAACAUAUCACAAAGUAUUCCAAUUUAUAUAAAAUUAAAUGUAACAGACUUUAAAAAAAAAAAAACAAGUAUAGCAUUUCUUGACGGUUGACAAACAACUUUAUCUAACUAUAAUUUCAAUCUUUAAACAUAGUACUCCAAAUGAAAGAAUCAAACCUCUGAACACCUAAUAAGGGCAGGAACAUCCCAAGAAAGGAAAACAUACGAGAUAAUAACACACAUAAUGUUCUAGAACACAUAACCUAAUACACAAUUGACCUUUUUUUACAAGAAUUUAGGGAAAACAAAACAAACUAAACCAGGAUUACUGACACCAUCAAGAUUUCAAGUAUUGAUCUUUUUUGCGAGCUCAUGGAAUGUAGUGCCAUUCCAAAUAAAACUUUUAGGAAACUUGAAUUACUAAAACAGAACUUCAAUAAACCAAAGAUGCACUGGCAAUUGAAACAUACCAUAGUGAAACAUUUCUAACUAGAAACUAGAACCAUGUAGUGAUAGUUGUGCAACUAAGGUUCAAAAACCAUGUAUUUGAUUAAAUUAGAAUUAGUGGUUGGGUGAGAGGGUGUGAAAGUGCUUGUGCGCCCGUAAGGAAAUCAGAGAGCGAUAAAUCCACAAAAUUUCUAGAUACAGUGAGCAUACUUCACAUCAUGAAAAAUGGAAACGAUUAAUUUAUACGUACCUCACAACAUGAAGCUAACAUUCUUUCUGCUAAGCCAGCAUUCUUGGUUGGAAACUGAAUAGUAAAAAAAUGGAUACAGAAUAUAAGGCUAUAAGCACAGAGAUUUUUAUGAUAAGAAAACAUUGCCAGUUAACUAUAUAGUUUUUAAAAAUAAAAAUUUGCUACUCAAAUAUGAAGUGUUCUCAACCACUUUACAGAAUAUAGAAAUUGAAGGGCAACCCACAGUCACAGACAAUUUUUCCUCCAACGACAUGUUAACAAAAACAAAAAUAUUGUGAGAUUGUGGUCGACAAAGAACUAUUCACAUAAUACAAUCGUGGAUUCUGUAGAAUUAAGUUCAAACUUCAGACUCUUUUUGAGAAAAUUAGGAAAAUAAAGCAAACUUAUAAGAUUUAAAAGAAAAGAAACAAGAUCAAUCCACAGAUGACAAAUACAGUGCAAUAAAGGGCACUUGUACAAAAUGAUAAAUUAAAAAACAAAAAGGCAGUUUAGUAAUGGUUGGAUUGAAUGACACAGUAAAUAGGUUCAAAAUUCAACUGCUUCUUCAUGUAAAAUUGUAAAUCAUUUUAUUCUUUGUUCCUCAGCUGAAACUAUAACAAACACAAAUCUGCAUAUCUUCCCUUAACAGACAACAAAAGUCCAAAUAACAAGCUAACCAAGGGGAUAUAUUGCCUCUGCUUAGUAAGUGAUGAUCAUAGCAGCAAUUAUAAACAAUGAAAAACUCAAUCAGGUGGUACCUUGUUCUUUUUCAUUUUCAAGCAUUUCAAGCACAAUAAGCUCAGCAUCCGCUUCAAUUCGCUAACAUGAUUGGGAUGAAAUAUUGGUACUGGUAACUCAAUAUACCCAAAAUGACCUGAAAAGGGAUAAAGGAUACACUUUCUUACGUUUCCAAUCAUACUCUUUCAAAUUUCAAUGUAUAAUAUGUUUCUUACAUCUGACUUGUUUGGCAACAUUGUAUAUUUUAACUCACUGUACCAAAGGUUGAGAAAUGAAAUUUAUUUACCUUCACAUUUCCCAGGUUCGGAAGUGCCACAAGAUUCACACUUUCCAAACUCAAGGGGCAGGCCAAGGAAUGGGUUGGAAAGCUGGCUUGCAUGGCUGAUAGAGCAAUCGCUAAUAGAUGCUGUACACUGCCAAAAAUGUAAACAUAAAAGUAUAAACAAAUUAUUCCAAAGGUUGAUUUUCGUAGUAAAGAAACGAAUUGUAAAAAACACUUUGCUGGAGGUGAUUUUCUAAUUUACUCUCCCAUAGACACUAGUCACGAGUUAGUUGUGAAGGCAUCUUUUACUUUAUUUUUUUUAACAAGAACAAUACGGGGAACACGUUGCUGAAGGCAUAUUACAUUUGACCAAUGGAAAGCCAUAAUUUUCAUUUGGCCGUAAAUGGAGCCUUAUAUGAGCUUAGAAUGUGAAUAUUCAAUAUGGACUCUAAAGACCACUCCCUCCAAGAAAUGAAUCAGAAUUCUCCCUCGAAAUCCUAUCCCAUGAAUGCAAUUUUAUUUUUUAGAAACAAACUAAUGUAGUUAAGGCCUCUCAGCUUUAGAUGGCAUAGACUCAAUAACUACUCAAAUUAAAUGUCAAAUUUCUACUUACAAUUUCUUGAUGAGUUGCUAAACCAAAUUUGAUUCCAACGAUCUCCCCAUCCAAAAUAUUCGAGGUCGAGACCUCCUCCAUUUCCUUUAAGAAACUGCCAUGGAAGAGACAGGGAAACAUAUAUAAAGUAAGACAACUGUAGCUAUUACAGCAAAAUCAACAUGCAAAUAUACCAUAGACAAAAUUAUUAAGCUAGAAACUUAAGAAAAAGUUAGUUUGUGGGAGGUACCAACCUCUAAAACAAUUAAAAUUAAUAAUAAGUUAAAGGCAAACGAUAUACAAGAAAUCUGAUGGUUUCUAAGAAAAAGGAAAGAAUUAAAAAAGGCCAGCAGAACUCAGCAAAAAACCUAAACAAGGUAUAAAUUUUCAUCCAAUUCUCAGCUACCAAACACAAAAUAAACAUGCAGCAAAAGGAAAGAACAAAAAUUACCAGAGUCUUCGGGUCUGAUCGUACUUGGAGCUACGAUGCAGGCCGGAAAAAAAAACCCUAACUGGAACCUAGAAAACAAAACGCAGAGCAAAUGUAUUUAGCGUCACAGUUAGAUACAGAGCAAGAGGGGGG